GUAGUCUUACAAUGAUCAUGUAUUUUCCGUUUAACCCCACUGUAAAUCAUCGGACUAGGAACCAAACCAGUGUUCAUCUUAUUGAAAAGCUUAGCCACUUCUUCAUCACUCCCCAAUCUGUUGUAUAGUAUGCCGGCGUCUCUCAGGUCUUUAACAUCUUCGGCUUCAUCAAUCAAUAAAUCAAGGAAACACAUAUAUGAAGUGACGGCGAAAUCGUUGUGGAAAUCCGGACACAUUUCGUAAGCUAUUAAGUUCAUGGUUGAAUCAUCGACGGAGAUCGGCGGUAAACAUAAUUUUCCGACGAAUAAGAUACGGUUGAAACUGAUGUCGGUUAAACAACUUGUUUCGCUGGCUUUUAACGAUAUCCCGAGUUUUUUAAGCUCUUUUACGUUAUGAAUGGUGUGUGAAUGGCACCGUUUUGUUCUUUCUUCUGUUCUAUCUUCGUGUUCAAUGCAAAACGGAAAACACCACCGCCGUAGUUUUUCUAUUUUGAAAAGGAGUCUUUUAUGAAUUCCCCACCCCCGUGGUUUUUCUUUUUUGAAAAGGAGUCUUACUCGUAGUAGAUGCAAUAAGUGAAUUGGCGUUCCUUCUUGCUGCGGCCACCAGUCACUAGAGCCAAAUCUGUGUUAGUCAGGAGCCAGCUAAAAUCAAGGUUUUCAAUGGUUGAAUCAAAUCAUUAUUAUUUUAAUAAAAAAUUAUUUAAAUUAUUAAAUUACAUUUUAAACCUUUUAAAAAUUAUUAAAUUAUAAAUUUAUAUACAAUAAAAUUAUACUUUGACUCCUCAAAAUGAAUAAAAAAUUGUUCAAACACUUUUGAAAAAUGAUGAAAUUAUAAAUUAAUACAUAAAAAAAAUCUAAGAAUCAAACCAAACUUGUGGAUCGGCCUAAUUAGAUAGAGAAUCGAGCAAGGUACUGAUCCAGAAUAAUAAGUUAAAUCCAUUGAAUCCAAUCAUAGAAUCGAUUUUUUAUAUAUUUUUAAUAUUUUUAAAAAUUUAUAUAUAUAAUUAAACUGAAUGAACUUAUCAACUAGAAAUGAGAGUAAUAGAUUCCAUCACCCAUCUAGUUAUAAAAACCUUUUAACAUUUAUAAACUCCACAAAAAUGGUUAAAAAAACUGUUUUGCCAGCUACCCCAAAGUUGAGUGAUUGUUGCUGUAAUUUACCCCAUUUCUUAUUUGAAAUUGUAAAUUUUUAACAAGCUAAAUUUAAGGUUUUCAAAAUUCAACUCUUUAAGUUAUCGAUUUAUAAGUCUAAUUGGUUUGACGAAUUCAUCCGAUUAAUUAAAUCAAUUAUUAAAAAUUUUCGAUUUGAUUGCCCAAUCCAAUUAGUUUUUUUUUGGUUCAACCUGUUCAUAUAGAUUCCCAAGUUGAUUGGUCCAAUGAUUUCCUUCGGACUAAUACCUUAAUUAAUUUCCAAUCCAAAUCGAUUCAAAUAAUAUUAACUAAAAUACAAUUUUUAUUAUUUUAUUAAUGCAAAAAUUUUACCAUUUUAAAGAUAUUAAAUUAUAAAAUUUCUAUUUUAAAAAAUUGGAUUUGAAAUCAUAAUUUUUUUCCUAAAGAAAUGUACACUCAACAGGACCAAAGGAAAUCACAGGGAAAUUUUGUUUUAUGGACAGUCUUCAUCACAAAUAAAAACUGAUGUGUCUUUUUUUAAUUGAGUGGGACCAUAGAUGAUGUGGUGAAAAUGGUCCAUUAAAUAAUUUAUCACAAGCAAGAGUAAUUCCAAAAAUAGAAAAUUACAUUUUAAUUCUUUAAAAAUUAUUAAAUUAUAAAUUUAUAUAUUAUAAAAUUACACUUUGAUCCUCAAAAUGGAAAAAAUAUUUUGUUCAGUCUUUUUUUUUUAAAAAAAUAUGAACUUAUAAAUCAAUACAUGAAAAAAUUUAAGCGUCAGGCUAGUUGGAAAGAAAAGAUGAUUGGUUAAGGGUAAAAAGGAAAAUAAGAGAAAUGGAAAAGAAGAAGAAAAGAAGAACAGGGGAGGAAGAAGGGAAAAUGGAAGGAGCUUCCAAGCUUCAUACCAACGAUUCCCAAGGGUCAAAAUCUGGGAAUUUGGAUUUUGAUCCUUGGGAAUUACUGUUACGAAGUCCUUCCAUUUUCUCCUCUUCUUCUUUUCUUCUUUUUCUCCAUUUCUUCUCUUAUUCUUCUUCUUUUUUUUUGUUCUUCUACUGCCCAAACUUCUUAAAUGGGUUUGUUUAAAUGACAGCUAGCCUACCCUUAAAUGUCAUGUCACUUUUUCGUUACGUCUGUAACGAAAAAUGGUUAAAAAGACUGUUUUGUCAGCUACCCCAAAGUUGAGUGAUUAUUGCUAUAAUUUACCCUAUUUCUUAUUUGAAAUUGUAAAUUUUUAACCAGCUAAAUUUAAGGUUUUCAAAACCCAACUCGUUAAGUUAUCGAUUUAUAAUUCUAAUUGGUCUAAUGAAUUCAUCCGAUUAAUUAAAUUAAUUAUUAAAAAUUUUCCAUUUGAUUGCCCAAUUCAAUUAAUUUUUUUUGGUUCAACCUGUUCAUAUAGAUUCCCAAAUCAAUUGGUCCAAUGACUUCCUUCAGACUAAUACCUUAAUUAAUUUCCAAUCCAAAUCGAUUCAAAUAAUAUUGGCUAAAAUACAAUUUUUAUUAUUUUAUUAAUGCAAAAAUUUUACCAUUUUAAAGAUAUUAAAAUAUAAAAUUUCUAUUUUAAAAAGUUGGAUUUGAAAUCAUAAUUUUUUUUCUAAAGAAAUGUACACUCAACAGGACCAAAGGAAUUGGCAGGGAAAUUUUGUUUUAUGGACCGUUUUCAUCACAAAUGAUCUUAUCAAAUUAAAAGAGGAUAGAUCAUCUUUUUUUUCAUAUCAUAUAUACAUUGGGACUAAACUUCCAAAUAAAAAAUAAUGUGUCUUUUUUUAAUUGAGUGGGACCAUAGAUGAUGUGGUGAAAAUGGUCCAUUAAAUAAUUUAUCACAAGCAAGAGUAAUUCCAAAAAUAGAAAAUUACAUUUUAAUUCUUUAAAAAUUAUUAAAUUAUAAAUUUAUAUAUAAUAAAAUUACACUUUGACCCUCAAAAUGGAAAAAAUAUUUUGUUCAAUCUUUUUAAAAAAAUAUGAACUUAUAAAUCAAUACAUGAAAAAAUUUAAGGAUUCGACAAAACUUAUCGGUCAGGCUAGUUGUUGAGAAAAUUGAACAAGAUAUUGAUCCAGAAUAAGAGAUUAGAUUAGAUGAAUUGAGUCAUCGAAUGGAUUUUCUUUAUAUGUUUAAUAUAUCUUUAAUAUUUUCAAAAACUUAUAUAACUGAAUCGAAUAAACUAAUCAAUCAAAAUUAAGAGUAAUCAAUGUAAAAACCUUUUAACAUUUAUAACCUCGACAAAAUGAUUUUUUUAUUUAUUUUUAAAUUCCUUAAAUUACCUGUCCUCGGCUGGGGUGAUAACAGUGUCGUCGAUGAACCUUUUGACUGCAUUCAUGAACUUUUCGCCAUCACUCGAGCUUGUAAGCAAUUCAAGAACACGAAAAGGUAUUUGGUUCUCCAACAAUAACAGAUCCGAGUACACAAAUGUCAGCAAAUCGUUUUUAAUAAACAACCGGUCAUAUUCAGAAGAAAUAUCAUCACCGUAACGCAUAUAAACUGCUUGUAAAAUUGCGCAGCCGUCAACGAAGAACAUCCAAGCCAGUUCCUCGUCAUCGUCGCUAUAGUUCGCUAAUUCCUGUGGAUCAUAGCAUUUCUUUAAGUCAUCGAUCUCUGCCUUCAUGUUGCUGUACUCCUCAUUGUCGUCAAUGUUUCUGACGAAAUGUGCUGCUAAUUUGAGCUUGAGAUCAUUGGAUUCUUGGAGGGUGCCAUCAUCGUGGUGGAGUGGGCCGAUUGAGAUCACUUUCGGCUUGAAAUACUUCUUGAAAUCUUCGUUACGGCUAAGGGUUGAUGGGACUUUUCGGAUCAAUGGAUUGCAUGUGCCGUUGGAAGCUUUGACUAAUGACGCGAGAUUCGCUAAUUCGCCCUUCCAGCGUAGCAAGUCAAUACGAAUGCUCACGAAAUCGUUGUUGUUGGUGAUUGUUUGAUCAGUGGAAACUGCUCCGACGGCGCCGCCUCCUUCCUCCGUGGACGGCAUUUUCAGGCUGAGCGGUUGGAAGUAAUAAAGAAGGUGAUUUUGUAAACUGUUUUUGGCUGAGUGAGUGAUGUUGGAGAAAAGGUGGCAAAAUGGCUACGAUGAUGACAAAUAUUUUAUAGCCUACAUGAUAAACAUAUAUGGGAAAUACUUAAGGUGUAAUUCAAAUUUACCCCUUAGUGUUUAUAUUUUUAUUAAUAUAAUUUUAAUUUUUUAAUUAAAUUUAAUUCUCUUUUGAAAGAGUCAAUGAUAAAAAAGAAAAGUUAAAUUAAUAUUUUUUAACAAAAAUAGUAAUAAAUAUUAAAAUUAAGAAUAAUAUUAUAGAACCUAAAUACUCAACACAACCCAAAACCUUCGCCUUAACCAAGAAACUAAUACUUCCUAAAUUUCAUUAGCUUAAUAAUAGCUAUUCAAAUAUAUUUUUUCAUUGUAUUACUUAAAUUAUUAUUACUUACUUUAACAUUUAAAUUAUCAUUAUAUUACAUGAUUAGUUCCAAAUAUUUAACAUUGUAACUAUGCUUCUUUAAAUAUAGUAAUUGCAUUUGUUAUUCACAUGUUAUUCACAUGCCAACCAACCAAUUUAUUAUUCACAUUCCUAACUUUCUAAAUGCAUCAAAUAUUUCAUAUUCAUGUACUAACAAAGAUCAUGCCAAGAACCCACAUGCAGAGUCAUUAUAUACCACAUUUAACUCAACAAGACUUUUACAUAACCAAAGAUUACUCCAAACGUUUAUACGCAUGUCGCAAUCCUUGACUCAAAUGAUAAAAAAAAAAACACCAAAUUGACAAUAAAAUAAUGUAAGCUUCGAACGAUCCAAUCGACAUGUUCCACAAUGUAACACCUAAAAGGAAAAAGAAAACAAUGGGGUAAGCAUAUAAGAUGCUUAGUAAACUCAUAUGUAAUCUAAAACUUACCUAGAUUAAUUGAACAUAAAAAUUACUGAAUAAUCUAUCAAAUUUAUUUUUCCAUGGCACGUAGAUAUCGUAUAUGUAACAACAUUUCAAGUCGAAAAUGUUAAAUACAAUGUUGAAUCAUUAUGUCUUCUUUUCUUAAGUUUCACUUAUAGAAAUAUAAUAUAGGUUCAAGUACAAAUAUAUGUCUCGAUUAAUCUAGAAAGAAUUAGACAAAAUUCACAUAUGAUAUACGCAUAUAAUGAGUGUGAGACUCACACAUCACAAUUGAGAAUAAUGUUAUAGAACCUAAAUACUCAACAACCCAAAACCUUUGCGUUAAGCAAGAAGCUAAGACCCUAUCGGAGGGAGAAUUUUAUAUCUACAACACUUCUUAAAUUUCAUUAGCUUAACAAUAGCUAUUCAAAUAUUUAACAUUGUAACCAUGCUUCUUUACAUAUAGUAAUUGCAUUUGUUAUUCUACCCAACUUAUGAAAAAUCUCAAAUUUGCAAUUUAUUAUUCACAUGCCAACCAACCAAUUUAUUAUUCACGUGCCAACCAAUUUGUUUUAUCGAAGUUAUUAUACUUAUAAGCUUUCACAUAUAACCAUGCUUCUUUACAUAUAUUAAUUGCAUUUAUUGUUGUACCUCAUGAAAAUUUUCAAAUUUGCAACAACAUAUUAUUCGCAUGCCAACCAACCACUUUUUUUUAUUGAAGUUAUUAUACUUAUAAGCAUUCACAUUUAACCAUGCUUCUUGUAACACUUUUCAUUGGAUCCAAUCGUUCGGUCCGAUCUACAGGACGCUACAGUCAUUGUCAAAGCAACUACAGUCGAAAUUACGAUAAGAUAAUUUUCAUUUAAACAUCAAGCAAGAUUCAACUACAGUAAUACAUUAAUUAUGAGUUUUAAUCGAGCUUACAAAAGCUUUUUUGGUAGUCCGAACAAGAAUUAGGACCAAACUAUAAAGAUUUGAAAAGUUUGGAGCGACGUCGCAACUUCAGCUUUUCCUCAUCGCAACAUGACCAUCUCAGUAUGUCACAUCAUAUCGAAAAGCCUAUGCUCAUCGCAGCGAGACUCUCUGACUUGGCAAUGUCGCAAUGUCAAGAUUCGUAGCCAUGAUGUGAACUCUAUAUUUGACAAAAAUAUACAAUUUGGUACCUAAUUCAAAGCUCCAACUAAAAUCAUGCAAGAAAAAUACAUUACAUGCCAUUUCUAAAUGACUUAAAACUUACGUAAAACAUGCUAAAUAAGUUCAAACAUAUCAAUUCAAUUCCAUAGCAAUUCAUAUUACCAUUUCAUCAAUUGUAUUCAACUUUUCAAUAACUUAAACUAAAUAUCAACAAGUUAUACAAACAUCUACCAUUACCUUUAUCAUGCCAUAAUGAAUCAUUCCAUUUCAACCAAACAUCACAUUAGUUCUUUCAUUUUUCCUUUGUAGUCAACAUAUGCAAACCAACUUAAAUAGAUCACAUUCCAACUUUCUAAAUACCAAGCUAAGACCCUAUCAGAGGGAGAAUUUUAUAGCUACAACACUUCUUAAAUUUCAUUAGCUUAAUAAUAGCUAUUCAAAUAUUUAACAUUGUAACCAUGCUUCUUUACAUAUAGUAAUUGCAUUUGUUAUUCUACCUAACUUAUGAAAAAUCUCAAAUUUGCAAUUUAUUAUUCACAAGCCAAACAACCAAAUUAUUAUUCCAACCAACCAAAUUAUUAUGCACAUGCCAAACAGCCAAUUUAUUAUUCACAUGCCAACCAAUUUGUUUUGUUGAAGUGAUUAUACGUAUAAGUUUUCACAUAUAACCAUGCUUCUUUACAUAUAUUAAUUGCAUUUAUUGUUGUACCUCAUGAAAAUUUUCAAAUUUACAACAACAUAUUAUUCGCAUGCCAACCAACCACUUUUUUUUAUUGAAGUUAUUAUACUUAUAAGCUUUCACAUGUAACCAUGCUUCUUGUAACACGUUUCAUUGGAUCCGAUUGUUGGGUCCGAUCUACAGGACGCUACAGUCACUGUCAAAGCAAUUACAGUUAGAAUUAUGAUAAGAUAAUUUUCAUUUAAACAUCAAUCACGAUUCAAUUACAGCAAUACAUUAAUUAUGAGCUUUAAUCGAGCUUAUGAAAGGUUUUUUGGUAGUCCGAACAAGAAUUAGGCCAAACUGUAAAGAUUUGAAAAGUUUGGAGCAAUGCCGCGACUUCAGCUUUUCCUCAUCGCAACAUGACCAUCUCAUUAUGUCACAUCAUAUCGAAAAGUCUAUGCUCGUUGUGGCGAGACUCUCUAACUUGGCAAUGUCGCAAUGUCAAGAUUCGUAGCCGUGAUGUGAACCCUAUAUUUGACAAAAAUAUACAAUUUGGUACCUAAAUCAAAGCUCCAACUAAAAUCAUGCAAGAAAAAUACAUUACAUGCCAUUUCUAAAUGACUUAAAACUUACCUAAACAUGCUAAGUAAGUUCAAACAUAUCAUUUCAAUUCCAUAGCAAUUCAUAUUACCAUUUCAUCCAUUGUAUUCAACUUUUCAACAACUUAAACUAAAUAUCAACAAGUUAUUCAAACAUCUACCAUUACCUUUAUCAUGCCAUAAUGAAUCAUUCCAUUUCAAACAAUCAUCACAUUAGUUCUUUUACUUUUCUUUUUUAGUCAUCAUAUGCAAACCAACUUAAAUAGAUCACAUUCCAACUUUCUAAAUGCAUCAAAUAUUUCAUAUUCAUGUACUAACAAAGAUCAUGCCAAGAACCCACAUGCAAAGUCAUUAUAUACCACAUUUAACUCAACAAGACUUUUACACAACCAAAGGUUACUACAAACGUUUAUAUACAUGUCGCAAUCCUUGACUCAAAGUGAUAAAAAAAACUACCAAAUUGACGAUAAAAUAGUUUAAGCUUCGAACGAUCCAACCGACGUGUUCUACAAGGUAACAACCUAAAAGAAAAAAAGAAACAAUGGGAUAAGCAUAUGAUACGCUUAGUAAGCUCAUAUGGAAACUAAAACUUACCUAGACCAAUUGAACAUACAAAAUUACUCAAUAAGCUAUAGAAUUAAUUUUUCCCUGGCACUUACAUACAUAUAGUACAUCUAAUAAAAUUUCUGUUAAAGAAAAACAAUUUGACUCUUUUUCUGAAAAGUUAAUAACUAAAUUUAGCUCAAAUAAAAAAGAAAGAAUAAAAGUCAAUUUGAUAAAAAAUAUAAAUAUUGAAGAUUAAAUUUAUCAUUAUAUCUUUUUUAAGUAAUUAUUUGUGGUGGGCCAUUGUUGACACUAUUUUUUUGAUCGAAAACGGGGUCGGCUUGGGUUUUGAAAAUGAAAACGAAAGCGGGAGUCGCCACCAAUCCUUUUUGAUAAGGUGUGAUUGGGUCACCUUGAAAAGUGGUUGUUUUUAAUAAACGGUUUGAUUUUUAUUAAAACAACAAGUUUGGUCCACGAAAUUCAGAAAAACGGGUUAGGGAGUCGGUUACGCACGAGGAAGGAUUAGCACCCUCGAUACGCCCAAAAUUGGUACCUAGUUGAUUACUUAAUGCCUUAAUAUCGAAAAUUGAGAACUUUGAAGAAUUUUAAAAAUACGAUCCUUGUAUUAAAACGUUGAAAAUUUUCAAAAAAAAGGGGGCAUAUUUCACGUUAUUCGAGAAAGAGAAUCAUAUCAAGUAACUUAGGACACAAUGUCUCGAAUUCCCGAUACGCGAAUGAAAAAUGCUUAUUUAAAAGAUAUUUUAACUAUCUUGGAUUAAAAAAGGGAUCACGACCAGUAAGUUAGGACACGAUCCUUUUUUAAUUCUCGAUAUCGUUUAAAACUUGAGUUUGAUAAGAUUCGUGUAAUAAAGUCUAAAAGAAUAUUCAAUUGUUUAAAUCAAAUGAAGAAAUCGCAACCCAAUACGUUAGGGCACAAUUUCUCAAAAUAUUAAACACUGAAUAUUGCAUUUAUUUCGAAAAAUCCUCGUCUCGAGAAAAUAACGUGUCACAUCCAAUGCGUUAGGAUACAACGUAUUGAAUUCUCGAUAACGAGCUUUUUAUCAUUUUUAAAAGAGUAAUCUCGAUUAUUUAAAUUCAACGAAAAAAAUCAGAACCCAAUACGUUAGGGCUCGAUUCUCUCGAAGGUCUUAAAUAUCGAGUAUUAUUUAUUUUGAAAUUUCUAUUUUUGACGAAUCCGAGUAAAAAGUGAAUGUAAAAUAAUGAUAAUGAUGAUAAUGCAAAUAAAAUAAUGCAUGCAAAUAAAAAGGAUAAAUAAAUAAGAUGAUAAAUGUAUAAUAAAAAGAAAUCAACAAUGUAUACACAAAAUAAAGUAAAUAUGCAAACACAAACUAAUGCACUUAAAUAAAUAAUAAUAAUAACAAUGAGCAUGUAAAUAAAUAAGUAAAUGAACACCAAAUGAAAUAAUAGUAAUAAAAAAUAAAAAAACAAAAUAUAUAUAUAUGUACGUAAGUUAAAAUUUUAAAGUAUAAAAAAUGUAUGUAUGUGUACGUAAGAAUAUGUAUGUAUAUAAAACUAUAUGAAAAUGUAAAAACAUAUAAGUAUGUGUAUAUAUUUAUAAAAAAUAUGUAUAUAGAUAUAUAGAUACAAAUUAUAAAAUAUAAAAAAUACAAAAAUAAGUAUAUACAUAUAUAUAUGAUAAAUUUUGAGAUUUUAAAGAUAUAAAUAAACAAAUAGCAGCAAUAAUAAUUAAUGGUAAAAGUAUAACAUCAAAUUUAUUAUUUAACAAGAAAACAAACAAAAUACAAAAGGACUAAAUUAAAACUUUAAACGAACUUCGGGGCUUAAAUAUGAAACAAACAAAAGGAAUAAUACAGGACCAAAGUGAAACACGCUUAAAGCGUGAGGGACUUGUGGGGAAAUAUUUCCCCGUCCUGAAACGCUGCGUUUCAACCAUGGGCAGCAAUUGGUCUAAGGACCAAAUCGGAAUAGAAGCAAAAUCCACAGGCCGAAAUAAAAAAAUACUACAUUGAAGCAAAUUGUGAAAGCGGAGGGACCUAUUGCAUAAAUAGCCCAUUUCAUGAAAACACGCAGAUCCCCCUGGAGCGGGUCGGAUCACACGCGGGUCAUGGGGCUUAAACGGUGCCGUUUCAAGCUUAUUAUAAAUAUAAAAAAAACCUCAAAAAAUUUUAGUUUCACCUUUCUUUAGAAAAAACAGAGAGCAAAGCUCUCUCUCUCAGGCCUCUAACCGGCCAUGGCUGUCGGCUUUAGCGCCACCGUGGACGGUGGCCGACGUUGCGCAAAAGAAGCCUUUCAUCCCCGAUUCACAACUCACACGAAAACCAGGCCUUCCUAGCCCGAAAGAUAUGAAAAAGGAGGGGUCUUUUGUACCCCUUUCAGUCCGAUUCCAACGUCGAAAAUGGUCUCCGGCGACGGGCUUUCGAGACAGGUAAGUAUCCCUUUUCUUUUCUUUUUCGUUUUGUUUAAAAAGUUAUAGAAAAUAAACAAAAAGGGAAGAAAAUAAACAAAAAAGAAACGCAAGAACCGAAAAAAAAAUAGACUGAGAUCAACCUUUUUUUUUGCUUUUUGAUUUUCUUAUUAAUUCGUUGUAUUUUUGUGAAAAUGUUACAAAAGAAAAGGAAGCCCCCCCAUUUUCGGUUUUUUAAUGGCUUUUAUAUAGCCUUUUACAAGCUUUUUUCUUUUUAUUUUUACUCUAUUUUUGCUUCUUAAUGUUGCGUGUUGCAGGUGAGCAGUUGGGAGCAGGUGAGCGGCGAUGGGACGUGCGCGGCGGCCAACAGAACGGCAGUGGCAGGGCAAGUGGGGUGCGGCAGCACUAGGGUUUCAGAAAAGCUGAAACCCUAGUUUGACCCUUAGUAUUUGGGCUUGGGUCUUGGUUUGGGCUGAAGGGUAUUGGGUUAGUUGGGCUGGUGGGUUAGUUUAAUUGGUUUAGUUUUUUUUGUUUUUGUAAUUGGGCCCGGGCAAAUGGGCUUGUACUGCUGCCCCUCUUUGCUCAUUGUCGUGUAACGAGAAUAGAGCAAAGACUAAGAAAAGCCCAUUUUGCCCAGUUUCGCCAAAUCUUGACUUCUUCUUGCGCUUCUCUUCCUUAAGUAGUUUCACUCCAGUCUACCGUGUUGUGUUGCUCCAACCCACUCCACUGCAACUUCAGAGAGAUACGACUUGUAGUUUCAAUCCACUCUGCUGUAACUUUAGGAGGCGAGUUUUGUGGUUUAAAUUUGCUUCCCUACUACCUUAGGAAGAUAAAAUUCACUGUCUUCGAUCUGCUCCACUACUGCUUAGGGUGACAGAAUCCGCAAUCUUCAACCUACUCCAUUAUUGCUUAGGGAGAUAAGACUAAUGGUUUAAAUCUGCUUCUCCACUAUCUUGGGAAGAUAAGAUUCACCAUCUUCGAUCUGCUCCACUACUGCUUAGGGUGACAGAAUCUGCGAUCUUCAACCUACUCCACUACUGCUUAGGGAGAUAGGACUAAUGGUUUAAAUCUACUUCUCCACUAUCUUGGGAAGAUAAGAUUCACCAUCUUCGAUCUGCUCUACUGCAACUUCAGAGAGAUAAGAUUAGUGGUUUAUAGCUUUAAUCUGCUCUAUAGCAACUUCAGAGAGAUAAGAUUUGCUAUUUUCAAUAUGUUCGUCGAGGAAGUAAGAUUCGCCGUUGCGGCCUCAAUCUUUUAAUUACAAUGUCGAAAAAGCAAGAUUCACCGUUGUGGCUUCAAUCUUUUCCGCUGCACUGCCUGGAAAGUAAGAUUCGCCGUUGUGGCUUCAAUCUUUUAAAUUACAAUGUCAGGGAAGUGAGAUUUGCCGUCGUAGCUUCAAUCUUUUGAAUUGCAAUGUGAAGUGAGAUUCGCCGUCGUAGCUUCAAUCUAUUCUGCUGCACUGCUUGGAAAGUAAGAUUCGCCAUUGUAGCUUCAAUCUUUUUAAUUGCAAUGUCGGGGAAGCAAGAUUCGCCGUUGUGACUUCAAUCUGUUCCGUUGCAUCGACUGAGAAAUAAGAUUCGCUGUUGUGACUUCAAUCUUUUAAAUUACAAUGUCGAGGAAGCAAGAUUCGUUGUUGUGACUUCAAUCUGUUCCGCUGCAUCGCCUGGGAAGUAAGAUUCAUUGUUGUGGCUUCAAUCUUUUAAAUUUCAAUGUCGGGGAAGUGAGACUCGCCAUCGUAGCUUCAAUCUAUUCCACUGCACUGCUUGGAAAGUAAGAUUCGCCAUUGUAGCUUCAAUCUUUCUAAUUGCAAUGUCGGGGAAGCAAGAUUCGCCAUUGUGACUUCAAUCUACUCCACUGCAACGCUAGGAAAGUAAGAUCCGUUGUUGUAGCUUCAAUCUUUUUAAUUGUAAUGUCAGGGAAGUAAGAUCCGCUGUUGUAGCUUCAAUCUGUUCCACUGCAACGCUAGGAAAGUAAGAUCCGCUGUUGUAGCUUCAAUCUUCUUAAUUGCAAUGUCAGGGAAGUAAGAUCCGCUGUUGUAGCUUCAAUCUUCUUAAUUGCAAUGUCAGGGAAGUAAGAUCCACUGUUGUAGCUUCAAUCUGUUCCACAGCAACGCUAGGAAAGUAAGAUCCGCUGUUAUAGCUUCAAUCUUUUAAAUUACAAUGUCAGGGAAUUAAGAUUCGCUAUUGUAGCUUCAAUCUGUUCCACUACAACGCUAGGAAAGUAAGAUCUGCUAUUGUAGCUUCAAUCUUCUUAAUUGCAAUGUCAGGGAAGUAAGAUCCGCUGUUGUAGCUUCAAUCUGUUCCACUGUAACGCUAGGAAAGUAAGAUCUGCUAUUGUAGCUUCAAUCUUCUUAAUUGCAAUGUCAGGGAAGUAAGAUCCGCUGUUGUAGCUUCAAUCUGUUCCACUGCAACGCUAUGAAAGUAAGAUCCGCUGUUGUAGCUUCAAUCUUUUUAAUUGCAAACUAUGGUUUCUUCGAUUUGCUUCGCUGUUAGUACAGGAAGGCAAGAUCUGCUAUCUUCAUUGAACUGUUCUCUAGUGAACAUGACAUUUAUGUUCUAUUUUAUGAACCUAAUUGUGCCUAGUGAUUAGGAUGGCAUGAUCAGAAUGAAUCAACUGCUCCUAACUAGAUGUGUAUGAAUGGCAUUUGCAUGAUGUCAUGAAGAUGAUUCCUUAAUGUUUAAGUUGUUAUUGCUCAUUGCUUUAUCACUGACGUGUUACAACGCCUUCUUGUUUAGCUGGCAUAUCCAAAGAAACACUUAAUCUGAUUGCUCCCCCAUUGUGAACGUCAAAGUUCAAUCCACUGGAUGCAAAAUUUGAACCAUCUUUCUCCCGCUGUAACCCAAGGGUAAAAAUAUAUGACUUUUCCCAAUCUUCUCCUAUCGUAAUUCAAGGAUACAAAAUGUGAAGCUCUUUGGUCCUUUACCCCAUUCCCAAGGUGUCAUACCAAAUGCUUAUGCACAAUUACAAAAUUUUCCUCUCUGAGAAAACCUUUUCUUAUCACUUGGUGAUCAUUGCUUGUUUGUUUAUUGAAGCUUUGUCACCAACACGACAUCUCGUCAUUUUGUCAAUGUUUGGACAACAAAAUCCAGAAGGAUAGUCUUUAACUUAGGCUCUUCCUUCUUAGAUACUUCACCCUUUAAACUUGAUGUUUUCUAAACAAUAGUCCUGUUUCAGGUUCCUAUAUUAUUUAGAAACUUCUAGAGUAAUAUGCAAACUUCCCUUGUGAAAGUAAUAUUUGUCCAUUAAUCAUUAUUCCAAUGCAACAUGCUUGCAAAAAGGGUUAUAACAAUGGAUAAGAAUAAAGAUGGUUCUGAGCAUAGCUCAAAAUGAAUAAAUUAUCAAAAAUAGUAAAGAAUAAUAAAAAAUUUGAUUGGGAAUGUAUAUCUUAGAAAAGAAAAAGUAUUCCAAGAACAACAAAUUUAAUAUAUAAAUAAUAUGAAGGUUGGGUGCCCCAGAUAUCGCAGCUUGAAUUUCUCUGUACAAACUUUUUGAAUACAUGUGUUUAGGAGAUCAACAGGACUUUGUCGAUGCCCCAAGAUGUCGCCUACCCUUUCCUACUGAUUCAGGUAUAGCAAUAUCACCAUAUGCCCCGUUCUGAUCAAAAUUUGAGCUGCUUUGAUCGCCUCAUCCCCCAAUUUGAUCCAAAAUUUGAGUCGCUCUGAUCACUUAAUGUCCCAUUAUGAUCAAAAGUUUGAGCCGCCCUUUUCGGGUUUUCAACUCAAAUCCCCUUUGGUCUCAAGGUGCCCUUUGCGGGUUUUCACCCUGGCCUCUUUUUUUUUUCAACUCAUUGGAUUAGACAUGUCCUCGUUAUCCUUUCCGAUCAAGAUUGACGCUUUUCCAGAUAAGGCCUUCCACAUAAGGUUCUUCCCAUCUUGACAUGAAGUUCUUUUUGUGUGGGAAGGAUCUUCUUCGAUACUAGGUCCUCUCAUGGAAUUCUCUUCUUCUUCUCCCUCUUUUUUUUGAGCUCACAUCAUUUGCUUUUGGCGCAUUUGACCAUGAUGGAUAACUUUGAACAUUCCUCCUCAAUCGAGAUUGGGUCCAAAAACUUAGAAAGAAUCUCGUCUUCAAUAGGCAAAAUCGCAAUAGGCCCAAGAGAACGGCAUUGCCCCAAUAGAGUUUUUUUUUCAAAGUGCCCUUUGCGGAUUUUUACCUUGGUCUUUUUUUCUUCUUUAAACGAAGUGUUUCUUGACUGGAUCCGAGUUUAUAGGAUUAUCAAUCUCACUCAAGAUCAGUGCUCCUCUGAAAAUGGUCUUCUUUAUAACACAAUGACAUCCCCGGCUUGGCAUUCAUUUCCUUCUAGAAUCCUUUCGUUAAGGAAGAAUCUUUUUUAACAUCCAGCCCUCUCGUGGAAUUCUCUGAGACGAGCCUAUUUAUUAUGGGCUCAUAUUAUUUAUUUAUGGUACAUCCGACUCUAAUAAAUAGCUUUUAAUCCCUUUUCCUAGGGUCAACUGAUCACAUCGCGAUUUGAUCCCUCCAACAAGCAAUGAGGGGAUUUUAAUAGGUAAAACUACCUCAAUCCUGUAAACCAAAAAGAGAGGUGUUGCCUCAGUACACAUGUUCGAAAAACGAUGAGGGCAAAUAGUAAUUUCUCAUGCCAGUCCUUGUUCACCUCUAGGUAAUUUGGUGACAAAACGUGGUGUCUGCUUCUGAAUUGAUUUCAGACCUCAGUUAUCAUGCUAUCAUUUAAGUUCAAUGCAUUUUCCAAUACCAUUCUCUCUGAAAAUCUGUAUCGGUAUAGGAUGACCUUGAUUCAUGAAGUAGCCUCUCAAAAAUGAAGCAACGCCCAUUAGAAGUCUUCGAUAAUGGUGCUGUCCAUGCCCCAUUUUGCUCAAAAUUUGAGUCGCCCUUUUUCGGGUUUUCAACUCAGAUCCACUUUUGGUCAAAGCACCCUUUUGCGGAUUUUCGCCUUGACCUCUCCUUUUUCUUUUUCUUUUUUUUCUUUUUUCUUUUUCUCUUUUUUUCUAUUUUGACUUUGAUUUUUUUUUAUUUUUUUUUAUUUUUUUAUUUUUUUUUGAGUCUGAACUCAUGAGAUUAGGCAAGUCCUGGUCAUGCUUUUCGACCAAAAUCAAUGUUAUUCUAAAGUCUUCCACAUAAGAUCUUCCACUUUUAUCUUGUAUGUGAAAAACCUUCUUUGGUACUAGAUUUCUUUCAUAGAGCCCUUUUGGGAGGCAACUACGACAGAAAACUUUGGAUCUUUCUCUUUAAUCAGGAUAAAAUCCAACAACAUCUUGAAGGGAUGGAAACCCGACUUCAAAUGGGCAAAGCUAUGCUGACUCAACGAGAGAGGCAUUGCCCCGGCAAAGAAUUACAUCGUUCGCACUGUAAAUUUCUAACAUCGUGCUGUUGUGCAGGUUUUAUUAUAAGAAUCGAGGCAUACCCCGGUAUGAUCAUAUAAAGACAUCUUUGAACUCUAGAGGUAACUCAAUAAUGUCUUGCUUCGUCUCUGUGGUCAGGUCAAUUCUAGUCUUCAUGAAGCUCACAAUUUCUAAUGAUUCCUUGAGAGGUAGGAUCUGUUUAUCUUCUUGUUCUACCAUCCUCAACGAGUCCGAAGAUAGGCUACAAUCUGUGUCAUCUUCAAAGUCGUGAGAUCCCUCUAAACACAUGUCUCGCUCAAAAUGAGAUUCUGAGUCUGUAGCAGUGUCAUUCAUGUCAUUGAUAUUCAGGGACCUAUUGUAGGUACAAGAGAAUAUACAAAGAAUGUAUGAAUUUAAGAAUAAUUAUCUGCACAGUAUGAUUAUGAAUGAAAGAAUGAUUUGGAUGAAAGAAUAAAAGAAUAAUCAUUCAAGAAAUGAAAGAAUAUUGGUUCAAAAGAUCGCAAAGAUGCAUUCCAUUAAAAUAAUGACGUUCAGACAUGAGCCUAUUUCACAAAAGACUUCUUGUUGCCUCUAGGCUAAAAGCAACAAGUGUGUUUUGAAUAUUACUCUGAGUAAGCUCUAAAUACUACAGAGGUUUCUUUAGAACACUCCCAAGUUUAUAAGGGCGAACAUCUAACAAGAUCUCUUCUCCAGUUGUUUCUUCAUAUUCAGCACUAAUGUGAACAUUUCCCAACAUUUCUUCAUUCAUCGCAUUCCCUUCAUUAUCCGUAUGAUUGAGUAGCGGGUUUUCUGUACUGAGUGAAUCCUCAAAUUUGACAAUGCCCAUAUUGAUGAACCUUUCGACUAGCUUUUUAAAGGCCGUGCAGUUUUCUAUAGAAUGCCCCGUAAUUCCCGCAUGGUAGUCGCAUUGUGCGUUCGUGUCAUACCAUUUGGGAUACGGAGACUGUAUGGGUUUUAAGUAAUGAGGAGCAACAACAUGUGCAUCGAACAAGCUUUGAUACAGCUCCUUAUAUGACAUCGGAAUUGGUGUGAACUGUAGCUUCUCGGUGCCUGGUUUCACUCCAAAUCCUUGCUUUAAAGGAUUCUAAUGUCUGGUGGUUUCUAUUUUUAGCCUGCCCACAGUGAUUGGUUUUGAGUGACCCUUGUUAUAUCUGUUUGUAUUAUCCCCCCUAUUCCCCUUCUUCCUUGGGGCCUUUAUAGUAUCUAGGUACUCUGCCCUCACCUGCUUCAUUUUUACUGGAUCAUCACGAGCAACAGGAAAAUGGUUCCUCAAAUUGGAUCUUGGGCCCGUUAGGCCACUCACUGGUGCUGUUGUACCAGUCUGAUAUUGUUGAGAUCUUAUGGUAAAUGGUGCCCUUUGUGGGUGCCUACCUGGCUGGACCUAGACACUUGUCGGAGUACAAUCUAGAAAAUAAGCAAAAUCCUCAUUAUCAAUCCCAGAGUGGUCUAUCAGGUCCUUCAUUUUUUCUGACCCUCCAGCUAGCAAUCGGUUGAACUGGCUCAUCAUGGUUCUCUGUAAUUCUAGCAUCUGAUCUCUCAUCUCCUGUUGAAAUUCGGUCAAUUGCUCCUGCAUCUGUGUCUGCAUUCGCUCUAAUAUCUCCAACCUUUGGUCCAUUCUUUUAGUUUCUAUUCGGGUACCGCAAGAAUGUUGGUUUUUCAGAUUUUCUGAAAUAAUUUUACCUAAUUAAGGUCACUUCAUGAAAAUCUAAUACAUAUGAUGUAAUGUAAUGCAAAUGCAUGAAAUGAAUGCAAAAAGAGACGUUGAUUCUUGGUUCAAUUCUUAUUAUGACAACUUUACUAGAAAACAAAUCUCUUUACAUAAAGCGGAUAUAUAUAUACGGCUUUGCCCUUAUAUUCCAAGUCAACGAUCAUUUUCUUCAUUCGAGCGUUAAGAUAAAUCUCACGAACUCUUCAAAAGGAACGUCUCUUCUAUCACCCUUUUGCUUGACCCGGGCCGUUACUCACUCAUCCUCGUGAUGCUCGUUGGCUUCUCUUUAAGAAAGUUCAGCGGCUCUCGAAUAAUCCUUGUCAUCUUUAGUCCUCGGGCAUCAGAGCAAUAGUUGUGUUGUCCUCUAUCAUCUUUCUCUUGAUGUGUUUUCUCGGAACAUAUUCGGGCAACCGUAUUAUUUUCCACUUUAUCAAAAGACCCAUUUCCUUAUGACAAGCUCUCUAUUUAACAACUGAAUAUGAAUCAACACCUCUUUUAAUGAUGAAAAUUCAAUGCAAUCAAAACAGAAAAGAAAACAGGUUAGUAUAAAGCAAAAGCAGGCAAGAAUAAUUAGAACACCUAUUUGGGUAAAUACUAGGGGUUCAAAGUGGUUCUACCUAGGGUGGGCUCCUAAGGUUCACUACAUGAGGUUUGGUUCUAAAAUAAAGGUACCCGAACCAGCAGAUUCCUCGAUCUUCACCCAUUAUAGGCUUAUACGGACCGAGUUCAGUUCAGGGGAAUACAUUUCCCUAUGGCUGCACGGAGAUGAAAAUUUCAUGAAGACAUAGGUACGGAUGUAUCCUAAAAGUGAUCCACUAUCCUACACGGAGGUGAAAACCUCAAGAAGGACUAGCUUCUCACUCCCACUUAAAUAGGUGUGACUAACGGUCAUACAAUGCAAUGCAGAAAGGCAUAAAAAAAUUUAAAAUAUAAAACAUGAUGAAAACUCAAAACAAUUGAAAUGCAAUGGGAGGAUCGUCUAUUUAAAUCACAUUUUCAACUUUCGACAAAAAGACAAGAAAUAAUCAACUCGUGGCUUGACUCUCUUAUUUAAAGUCCCCAGUGGAGUCGCCAAGCUGUUGACACCAUUUUUUUGAUCGAAAACGGGGUCGACUUGGGUUUUGAAAAUGAAAACGAAAACGAGAGUCGCCACCAAUCCUUUUUAAUAAGGUGUGAUUGGGUCACCUUGAAAAGUGGUUAUUUUUAAUAAACGGUUUGAUUUUAUUAAAACAACAAGUUUGGUCCACGAAAUUCAGAAAAACGGGUUCGGGAGUCGGUUACGCACGAGGAAGGAUUAGCACCCUCGAUACGCCCAAAAUUGGUACCUAGUUGAUUACUUAAUGCCUUAAUAUCGAAAAUUGAGAAAUUUUAAAAAUUUUAAAAAUACGAUCCUUGUAUUAAAACGUUGAAAAUUUUCAAAAAAAGGGGCAUAUUUCACAUUAUUCGAGAAAGAGAAUCAUAUCCAGUAAGUUAGGACACAAUGUCUCGAAUUCCCGAUACGCGAAUGAAAAAUGCUUAUUUAAAAGAUAUUUUAACUAUCUUGGAUUAAAAAAGGGAUCAUGACCAGUAAGUUAGGACACGAUCCUUUUUUAAUUCUCGAUAUCGUUUAAAACUUGAGUUUGAUAAGAUUCGUGUAAUAAAGUUUAAAAGAAUAUUCAAUUGUUUAAAUCAAAUGAAGAAAUCGCAACCCAAUACGUUAUGGCACAAUUUCUCAAAAUAUUAAACAUUGAAUAUUGCAUUUAUUUCGAAAAAUCCUCGUCUCGAGAAAAUAACGUGUCACAUCCAAUGCGUUAGGAUACAACGUAUUGAAUUCUCGAUAACGAGCUUUUUAUCAUUUUUAAAAGAGUAAUCUCGAUUAUUUAAAUUCAACGAAAAAAAUCAGAACCCAGUACGUUAGGGCUCGAUUCUCUCGAAGGUCCUAAAUAUCGAGUAUUAUUUAUUUUGAAAUUUCUAUUUUUGACGAAUCCGAGUAAAAAGUGAAUGUAAAAUAAUGAUAAUGAUGAUAAUACAAAUAAAAUAAUGCAUGCAAAUAAAAAGGAUAAAUAAAUAAGAUGAUAAAUGUAUAAUAAAAAGAAAUCAACAAUGUAUACACAAAAUAAAGUAAAUAUGCAAACACAAACUAAUGCACUUAAAUAAAUAAUAAUAAUAACAAUGAGCAUGUAAAUAAAUAAGUAAAUGAACACCAAAUGAAAUAAUAGUAAUAAAAAAUAAAAAAACAAAAUAUAUAUAUAUAUAUGUACGUAAGUUAAAAUUUUAAAGUAUAAAAAAUGUAUGUAUGUGUACGUAAGAAUAUGUAUGUAUAUAAAACUAUAUGAAAAUGUAAAAACAUAUAAGUAUGUGUAUAUAUUUUUAAAAAAUAUGUAUAUAGAUAUUUAGAUACAAAUUAUAAAAUAUAAAAAAUACAAAAAUAAGUAUAUACAUAUAUAUAUAUGAUAAAUUUUGAGAUUUUAAAGAUAUAAAUAAACAAAUAACAGCAAUAAUAAUUAAUGGUAAAAGUAUAACAUCAAAUUUAUUAUUUAAUAAGAAAACAAACAAAAUACAAAAGGACUAAAUUAAAACUUUAAACGAACUUCGGGGCUUAAAUAUGAAACAAACAAAAGGAAUAAUACAGGACCAAAGUGAAACACGCUUAAAGCGUGAGGGACUUGUGGGGAAAUAUUUCCCCGUCCUGAAACGCUGCGUUUCAACCAUGGGCAGCAAUUGGUCUAAGGACCAAAUCGGAAUAGAAGUAAAAUCCACAGGCCGAAAUAAAAAAAAUACUACAUUGAAGCAAAUUGUGAAAGCGGAGGGACCUAUUGCAUAAAUAGCCCAUUUCAUGAAAACACGCGGAUCCCCCUGGAGCGGGUCGGAUCACACGCGGGUCAUGGGGCUUAAACGGCGCCGUUUCAAGCUUAUUAUAAAUAUAAAAAAAAACCUCAAAAAAUUUCAGUUUCACCUUUCUUUAGAAAAAACAGAGAGCAAAGCUCUCUCUCUCAAGCCUCUAACCGGCCAUGGCUGUCGGCUUUAGCGCUACCGCCGUAGCGCCACCGCCGUAGCGCCACCGUAGACGGUGGCCGACGUUGCGCAAAAGAAGCCUUUCAGCCCCGAUUCACAACACACACGAAAACCAGGCCUUCCUAGCCCGAAAGAUAUGAAAAAGGAGGGGUCUUUCGUACCCCUUUCAGUCUGAUUCCAACGCCAAAAAUGGUCUCCGACGACGGGCUUUCGAGACAGGUAAGUAUCCCUUUUCUUUUCUUUUUCGUUUUGUUUAAAAAGUUAUAGAAAAUAAACAAAAAAGGAAGAAAAUAAACAAAAAAGAAACGCAAGAAUCGAAAAGAAAAUAGACUGAGAUCAACCUUUUUUUUUGCUUUUUGAUUUUCUUAUUAAUUCGUUGUAUUUUUGUGAAAAUGUUACAAAAGAAAAGGAAGCCCCCCCCCCCAAUUUUCGGUUUUUUAAUGGCUUUUAUAUAGCCAUGGUGAAUUCAUCCCCAACAUUUUAGCAGGCCCAGGUGGAUUCCAAGAACACAAACAAUUAAAUUGGCUAAAUUUAUUCAUAUCAACCAAAUUAUUAAAAUUUUCAAAUAUAUUCAAAAAAAUAGGAGAGACAUUGGAUGAAACCACAAGGUAAAUCACAAACAGGAUCAAAUUGAAAGAAAAGCAAAAUGACAUAGAAGGAACAAAAGAAGGGAGGGCUAAAUCGCCUGAAAAAUUAGCACGUGUGUUAAGCAACAUUGAUGAUAAAACACAUAGGAUAGAGCAUAUGGAAUGUCGCAUGGAAGAGAACAUGUAGAAGAUCAAUAAGGGGCAAAUUAACAAUAUUAUAGAAGAAUUGAGGGGCUUGAAAAGGGAAAUAAAAGAGUUAAAGCGGGAUGUGAAAGAAAUUAAAAUAAAAAUUUGUAUGAAAGAAAGAUAAGGGUAUUCUUUUGCUAGUCAUGGAUGUAAUAACGAAGUUCAAUUUUCGUCGGCAUUGUACGGAAGAAUCGAAGAUGAAGUGAACGAGUUUUUAAGAUUUUUGAAGUUUAAUAUCGAAGGAUUGUCGUAUGUGGGUAUGUGAGUGUGUUUCUAUUGUAAGGAAUGGUGUAAAAAAUUUAUGAUUUAAGGUUUUGUUAUAUAAGGAAGGAAAGCACCUUUUAAGAUUAUUAGAGGCACUUAUUCACGUGUUGUGUUUUGAAUUGAGUUGUACUUUUUUUUAGUGUAUGUAUUAUGGACCUGUUGAUGUGGUACAAGUUUAGUUCUUUUGAGUGCAUCUUGUGAUGUUAAGUAUGUUUUGUUGGGCCUCUUGGCUCCUAUAUUUCAAUGAUAAUAAAAUAUAUUUCAAGCAUAGUACUUUUUGUAUAUUUAGAUUUAAUAUUAUACUUUUAUUUUAAGAUAAUCUUUCUACUACAACAAUGUUUAAUGCAAAUAUGAACUCAUGUUGCAAUUUACUAUUAUCAUCUGAUUGGAAUGCAACAUCUAUUUAAACUUCGACACGAAACUAAAUUCCUCCAUAAACUAGAAAAAUAUCAUUAGUUCUUCGUAAGUUAUUUCACCUCAAUCUAAUGACCAUUGUAGAGGCCCAAUUUUAUUCGGACCAAACAAAUAAAACAAAAAUAAAAACGAAAACAAAUAAAAGUCCAUUAAUAGUCCAAAUUACAAGCCUAAUGACCAAAUCCAUCUGCUAACCCUAAUACCCAAUAACCCAAAGCCCAAUAGCCCAACUAUCCUAAACAACCAUAAACUCUAAUUUCCCCCUAAGCCUCCAGCCGCCGCUCCUUGCCACAUGAGUGAGCACUUCUCCUAAAGACACCCACGCCUUAGGUCUGCCCCCUGCCAUCGUUUCACCAAAAUGGCUAAGGGGCACACCUUCCCUUGUCGUUGACCACUACCAUGGCAUCUGCAAAAGAAGACACAGAGAGUAGAAAUAGAGAAAAACAAAAAGAAAAGAACAAAAUAUUAUAUUUGGUUCGGCUAUAAAGGUUGAACCCUCUGUAAUUUUUAAGUGGGGGAGACCGAAUACAAAAAAGAAAAAAAGAACAACAAAGUUUAAAAAAAGAGGUAGCUUAUCGAUUGUUCUUUUUAUUUUGAAAAAUAUAAAAAACAAAAGGCUCGAUUUUUACCUGUGGCGCUUUGUCCCCUGCCGUCGUGGGAGCCCUUCGUCAGACGAAUAUGUGCAGGGGUGUUUUCUUUUCUUUUCUUUUUCUUUAAAAAAAACACAUUUUUUUGAACUUUCGUUUUUUGGGCCUUUAUGACUGGACAAGAGGGGGUCUUAAAGAGAAAAGAAAGGAAAAAGAUUUUUUUUUUUAAAGCUGACCCCAAAUGUUUUUAUUUUUAUUUUUACUUAUAUAGGACGUACUAUAUGACGUUGUUUUGGCUUAACUUUCAUGUAAUAGCCAGAUGUUAGGCCUAGUCAGAACAGUGGUUUCGGGACCACAAAUUCGACGAGAAAAAAUUUAUUUUAAUUAUAUUUUUAUGGUCUACAAUUUCACGAAAAUAUUUCGUGAAAAUUUCGUUCGAAAAUUUCGACGUUUGGGCACUCAAUUUAGCCAAAACUAAAUUGUAAAAAGUGCAAAAGUUGAGUUCUAUAUGUUAGGAGUGUCUAAUUGUUAUGAAAUUUUAAAUUGGAGGUCCUUAAAUGGAAAUUAGACCAUUGUUUAUGUUAUGGACAAAAAUGAACAUGAAAUAGAUGAAAUAGGAUAUUUUUAAGUUAAGGUUAUUUUGGUAAUUUGGAAAUUAAAACAAAUUAAAAAGACAAAAUAAGCCAAAAUUUCAUCAUCUUCUCAAGGGGGGUGGACGAAUAUCAGGUUACUCCAUGGCUAGGGUUUGUUCAUUCUUUCAAGCUUCAUGGUAAGUCUGUUUUAGCCCUGUUUUUCUUGUUCUUUAUAUUUUUAGAAUUCUGGUAACUUGCUUAAGCUAUUUCUACCAUUAAUUCGAGCUAGAAUUUAUGUUUAAAAAAUUACCCAUAGAUGAAAAGUGUGAAUUUUGAUGUUUCAUGAUAGAAUAUGAAGCUUAGAAUUAUGUUAAACGAUUUUUGCCAAGUGAUUUUCAGUGAAAACAAGUGAAACAAUAUAAUCGAUAAAAAUUAUUAUUGUUCAUAAGUGAAUGUUAGAGUAAGAAUUUGAUGUUUCCAUAGAAGCGAAAAAUGUUUAGUAUGUCAUAAAACAUAAGAAUAAGAGAUGAAGUUUAAUUUCCGAGCUUUGGGGCAAAACUGUAAAUAUGCAAAAGUUUAGGGGCAAAAUUAUAAUUUUUCCAAAGUUUGAGUCAAGGACUGUUUUGGUGAAUGUGAGUGUUAAAUAAUUCAAAUGUGUUAUUAUGGAUCAAGAAAGAAGUGGAAUCGACCUUGAUCGGAGAAAAGAAAAGAUUAAAGACUAAAUUGCUAAAUUUCUAUAUUGUUGCACCAAAAUAAGUUAUGUGUAAAUAAUAGCAAUAUAUUGUUAUAAAUUGUAAAUUAUUGGGAAGUAAGAAUCUUUGUGGAAUUGUCGGAAUAGUAAAGAAUUGAAUAAGGUAUCGAUGAACACGUGUGUAGUACUGUGUGAAGGCUACUACGUGUAUCGAUAAAUAAUGGUCACAUGUGUAGUACUAAGUGAAGGCUACUAUGUGUACCGAGAAGCUUUGGUUACGUGUGUAGUACUUUGUGAAGGCUACUACGUGUACCAGACUGAUAGGUCGCAUAUGUGGCACGGACUGUGUGCAGGCCACCGAUAUUCUGUUAUGAUACAAGAGUGGCACGGACUGUGUGCAGGCCACCGAUAACCUGUUAUGAUACAAGGGUGGCACGGACUAUGUGCAGGCCACCGAGAAUCUAUUAUUACACAAAGGUGGUACGCAUUGUGUGCAGGCCACCGAAAAAUCUAUUUUUAUUUCGACAAGUUCAACGGGAAAUUUAUUAAGUGAAAAUACAUGAUAUGACGGAAUGACUAUGUGAUUUAUAAGUGCAUAUAUAUUGGGAAAAUUAUGAACAAUGUACUCGUUAUUUGAUAGAACUAUUGAUAAAAUGAAAAUGAAAUGAAGUAAGAGAAAUUCAUGAAGGAGUGAAACUUAAAAUAAAAUAGUUUGGACAGUAACAGUGGUGUGACUUUGAAAAAUCACUAAAAAUAGUGUAAAUUGAAUUAGAGAGUGAUUGAGAUGUGAAAUGAAAGCUUAUUGAGUCUAUUUUUAUAUGGAAGAAAUAGAGUAAGUAAAAGAGUUAUAUAUUUUGAGAUAUUUUAAUUUUAGUGAGACAGGGUCGGAUUGAUUUCGGAAUCCCCUGUUCUGAAUUUUGAAAAUCAUUAAAAAUUGUAAAAAAAUAAUUAUGAGUUAUAUUUUAUAUUCUUGGAGUCCUUAAUGAGUAUAUUUUCAAAGAAAACAAACGGAAAUAUCAUCCGAAACCUAUAUACUGAGAUAAUUUAGUUUUACCAAAGAGAGGUCAGAGAUGUUUAGCAGUGAAAUAGGGGUGACUUUAAAGAAUAAACUGUACUAAUUGGCCAAGCCAAAAAUUCUGAAAAUUUUAUGGUUAGAAGAUAUGUGAGGAUAGUUUCGGAGAAAAUUAAUGGAUCUUAAUUUGGAUCUCUGUAACUCUGGAUAAAAAUGAUUUAGUGACUCUGACUCAAAUAGACAGUUUUGAAUUUAAAUAUAAGUGAAUAGUGAAAUUAUGUAUAAUGCUAUUUAAGCAUGUUUUAUACAUAAAGGAUGUGGAAUGGAGAGGAGGAGGACAAUAAAAUAUACGAAUGAUUCGUGUAUAAUUGGCUAUAUGUUCGUUUAUAAUCGAUAGACGCCGAAUUGAAUAGUAGAUUCGUAUCAGUAUUGAAUUUAUUAAUAGAAAUUGUUGAUAUUUGAAUAAUAUGUUUAGUAAUAAACAUAAGGUAAAUAUCGAUGUUGAAUUGUUUGUGAGUUGAAUGAGAACUAUUAUGGAUAUGAUUUGAAUUAAAAGAAUUAUUGUAGUAUUGAAAUGCAAAUUGGAUUGAGAAAUUAAUUUGAAUUGUGAACACGAAGAGUUAUGAAUUGAAUAGAACUGAAAUAAAACAUUGAAUUGUUAUUACUUGUGAAUUAGUCAUUUUGGUACAUAGAUAAUACUGAGUGAUAAUCAUGCUUUGUGAAAUAUCUGUAGUCAUAAGGAUGAUUAUAAAAUAUCUUGUUAUAAGAAUCAUUUGGUUAUGAGAUGUUAUAAAAUGGUGAGAUUUAAUGGUUGAUAUGAAUAUUAAGGCUAAUUUACUAGUCGACUAAUGGAGAAAUGAGUUUGUUGAUGGUUGUAUAUACGAAUUUUUGACAUAUGCUCGAGAUAUGUAAUGUAGUAAUAUGUGAAAUUAAUAUGAAGAGAUUUGUGACUAUUAUUAGUGUUGAUUUUAGCAUAAUGUAAAUUAUUCAAGGUCGAAAUAAUUUAAUGGAUAAAUUGAGUAUAUGAAUGAGUUUGUAUCGAGUCUUAUAGGCUCUAUUAUUUAUGAAUAUAAUAUUUUGAGGAUAGGUUGUAAAGAAUUAUAAAAGCAUGUUAAUAGCUUAAAAAGUUUUAAUUCGGAUGAAAUUUUGUAAAUGGGUUUAAUACGUAUACAAGUGUAUGUGUUUUAGUAAUGCCUCGUACCCUAUUCCGACAUCGAAUACGGGUAAGGGGUGUUACAUUUCAUACGCCUAAAACAACGCCAUUUUGAAGGCCAACCAGAUGACCCGAUCCAGAUCCCCUAAGAUCCACGUGUUUUUGUGGAAGGGGUCUAAUUGCUGCCUUAGUCCUUCUUCCUUUAAGCGCUUUUGAAUAUGGUGCUAAUUUUGUUAUUUUUUCCUUUUUUUAAAUUACACCACUUAAUUUUGAAUUGUUUCAUUUUAGUCCCCAAACUAUCGACCCUUUGGGGAAUGACGUGUACUGGGUUUGGGUUAUUUUCCCUUUUGGUCCUUGCACUUUAUUGCAUUUUUAAUCUGACCCUUUAUUUAUUUAUGCCCUAAAAUUUUGUUAUAGUUUCGAUUUAAUCCCCUGUUUAUUUAAUCCCACCCCUUUACUUUCUGUUAUUUAAUUUCUAGCAUUUAUAAUUUAUGCUAUUUACAUUUUUUCCUACGAAUUUCCCGAUUGUUUUAUUUUGGACUUUUAUUUUUAAUUAUUGAUACUAUUAAUAUUAUUAAGUGAUUAUCGUUGCUAAUUAAUAUUAUUUUUGUUGAAAUUUACUCACAUAUCAAUAUUUUAUCUAAUUAUAUUAUUAUCAUACAUUUUUAUACUAUUUCACUAUUAUUAUCACUAUUAUCAUAUAGUAUUAUUAAUUUAAUAUUACUAACUAAUGUAAUUUUGCCAUCAUUGUACAUUGUAAAUGUUGCCACAUACAUUUAUUUGACGCAAACACAUAAGAAAUAAUUAAAACCGAAGCAAUGUUCAUUAUUUUUGGGAUUCAAGGAGUUGUGCUCCUAACUUACGGAUUAUGAUCUCUCCCUAGAACCAAAAUAACCAAAUAUCUUAUUUAAAACUCAAGACACUUAGGUAAUAAUCAAAUGACGAAUAUUCUUAUUUUCCAGGAUUUGAGAUAUCGUGCCCUAACUUACGAGACAUGGUCCUUUUUCUCGAUUGACUCAAAAUAAAAAAGUUCUUUCCAUAAAAUUUAAUUUAGUUGGCGAUAUUUUAAUAAAAUCAUGCAAGAAGGGAAUUGUGCUUUAAAUUUUCUUUGAAUUCUCAAUUCUCGACACCAAGACAUCAAGUAAUAAACUAGGUACCAAUUUUGGACGUUAUGAGGGUGCUAAUCCUCGUCAUGUGUAAUUGACUCCUGAACUCAUUUACUGGAUUUUGUAGACUAAAAAUCAUCAUUUUAGUAAAUUUAACAUUUUUAUUAAAAUGAUUACAUUUCAAGAUGAUCUGAUCACACCUAAUAAAAAGGAUUGGCGGUGACUCCAUUUUCGUUUUCUAAAAUAAAAAGUCGAUUCCCCCAAAAAAAUAUUUCAACAACCGUCACUUGGAUAACUUUGGUUAUCAGCUCGUGACACUUAGAGCUAUACAAUAUAUUUGGUGUUUUGCACAAUAUGGCAUACAUAAUAGUUUUCACUACCAAAAGUAAUGUUGCCUUACUCAUUCUUCUCUUAUCUUCCAAAGUUUUAGGAUUCAUAUCAUUCAAGUGAUGUAAAACAUGCACCAUUAGCAAUUUUCCAAAAAAAUUAAAACAUUUUCAACAAAUCAAUUUUCAAAAUAUCCCAUUCUGGUGUAAUUAUGUUUAACACUUGUAUUUAUAUAAAUUAUGAUAAAUUAUGAUAAUAUAUGUAUUGAUGUCAUUUUCACAUGUAAAAGUAUCAUAAAAGUCUGUGUGCCAAAUGUUAGAUUGCAUUUUAUCUUGUUUACUCAAAAAAUAAGUAAGUUAGUUUCUAUACAUCAGAUCAAAGAGUAAAUUGAUCAUUUUAUUAAAAUUUUAAUCCUUUUCUGUUAUUAAAAAUUGAUUCAUAUACAUCAAUUUGAGGUACAGUGGCACGUCAUAUGUCAUUAUUUGAUUAUUCAGUUAGUCACACCAGUUUUUAACAUUACAAAUAGAAAAAAAUUUUAACAGAAAUGACCAAGUUACUUUUUGAUCUAACAUAUAGGGACUAAUUUACUCAUUUUUCAAUAUAAGGAGCAAAUGUAAUCCAACUCAAUGUACAAGGACUUCCAUGUUAUUUUCUUUCCAAUUUCACAUUAUUUUAUCAUAUUAUAUUUUAAUUUUUUUAGCAUACACAUAUCAUGUAAAUGGUAUAAUGUCCAAAUUGUCUGGUGUUACUUCACAUGGUUGAUUUCAUUUGUCAAUUACUGAUUGUGGAUUGACAACAUUGACCAUUCUACGUAUGGGGAGCGUAACACCUCAAACCCAACUUAGACGUUAUGGUCGAAUUUAGGAGUGUUACAAAGAAGGGUUUUGAAAUCAGUGUUACUUCGAUAAAACUUUGUAUAGUCGUUCAAUUAAUUAUCCAAGUUUUAUAAUCCAUAUUCGUUUAUAUAGCUAUUACUGAAAGUGUUAUACAAUUAAUUCAUUUGCCAAAACAUAAUUUACAGCGAAAGUCUCAGAAACUAAUAUAUUUUAGGAAUCCAGUUUGUAUUUUCAAAAAAAAUAUUUGUUUGCGUAAAAUUAUCAUUUUCAUAAAUCAUUUUGACAAACCACGCAGGAUAGAAAACAAUCGGAACCAAAACCAAUAGUUAAAACCAUACAAUCCAGAGAGCCCCAAAAAUUACAAAUUCUCAAAUAAAUCCAAAAUUUUAAUUAAAACCGUUAAUUACUAAGUAAAAAUAGUUCUCGGUCAGUGGUCAUUGCUGAGCUCCGUUGCACUAACCCGCCUAAGUCUGUGGAUUACCUGAACAGAACAAACAAACAGAUAUGAGUUUUAAUAAACUCAGUGUGUAACCUAACAGAAAAAGUCAUGCAACAUAUACAUAAUCUCAUAUACAGUCAAAUACAGAUUGGGACAUAAGUCCAAGACAGAAUCAGAUAAGCAGAAUCAGAUAAGUAGACUCCUACCCUCAUCCUCUACACACAAUCUCUGACCAUCCUAUUACACCAUGUGUGGUUAAAAACACCUACCCAUCCUUACACACCAUAUAGUGUCGAUGCGAUACAUAACAGAUAAUAUGCAAUCAACUGCCAAGAAAAGGCGAAGAGUCGCCAUACAGACCACUUCCUCCACAUAUACAAUUCUCACCCCAAACACAAAUACAAAAUACAUAUCCAGAUAUACCAGAGUAAACAUGCUUAACAUGCUCGUAUAUAGAUGGAUACAUACUUAAACAGUACAGUCAGAAAUACACAUAGUAUCCUAAUCAGAUCAGUCUAUCAGAAUAUCAUAACACAUAAUAUAGGGUUUUGGUUAGCCUUUAUCGACCUUACAGCAGGUCCAUAGUCGAUCGGAACGACCCCUGCGACCCUAGAGAACAUUUCAGAAUUAUGAGUCCACAUGCCCAUGUGAGCCCACAUGCUCGUAUGGCCCAUAUGACUUGGCCCAAAACCCACACACCCAACUUCGCCUAGCCCGUGUGACCUACAGGGCCACACUCACACCAUCACACGAUCGUGUCUUAUGCACGACCACAUUCGUCAGUCACAAGGCCGUGUAUCGUACACAGCCAAUCACACGGCCUGGCUCACACCAGAUUGGCAUCGACAGUGCCCUUUUUUAGCUUUCGUCAAACCUCAAUUUUUCGUGUUUAGGGUACACAUCUGGUUUGUUUUAGAUGCUAAGCAAUCCCGAGCCUUCUGAAACCUAAGAAAUAGUGUCCCAUUGACCAAUUAGCAAUCAAUUUACAAAUCGACACUUAACCCGAAAUAACGCACAUAACUUACCAAAGACACGAACUGGCACUAGCGCGAUCUAGGCUAUCGAAGUAAAACUUCACUGCUCACAACCUUCUCCUACAUCACAAAUUUGCAGAAAUCAAACCCCCUAUCUACACUACUACACUACCAUGAAAAGAAAAUAAACUGAUAGCUUACCCAAAUCACAUAAAAAUGUCAAGUCUAGAGUGCAACGUGAAGAACAAAAGAUGAAAAAUAGGUUUGAAAGAAAAGAAAAUGAAUGGAAAAAUCAGAGAUUGAAGAGAAGGAGAAAAGGAAAGAAACGUAAAAAGAAGAAGAGUAGAAACAAUAUCUCAACUCCCCCAUUAUCCCACUACCAAACCGCCCAACUAUCUCACAACUUUAGAGUUUCGGCUCCACCGAACCUCUAUCAUAUAACCGAAGCAAAAUUAUAACCCACACUUAUGCAGGGAUUCAAACAAAAGACCUCCAACACAAUAACUCCUUACUACUCAAACCAGCAGACUCAUUCUGAUAUAAGUUUACAAACAAUAUUCUAUAAACCCACCUAACAAGGAUAAGGCUAAGACAAAAAAAUAACAAAAUUUUCAAAUGUGAGACUUGAAUCCCAAACCUCAAACACAAACCCAAAACAUUUAGCCACUAAAGCAAAUACAUAUUUAUAUUAAGAUUUACAGAAACAAAAAUAAAUUAUUCAAGGCGUUACAGGUAUGGGACUACUCCUUUUCUGCCAUUUUCACUACCCAUUGCAUUCAUUUUCUCUACCCUACUACUCCUCUGCACUGCACUGUCCAAUGCAUUUAAAGACAAGGUAUACAUAUAGAUUGUAAAUUUUCUUGUCUGGAAGCUCACUGUAAGCCAAAAUCAAAACAAACUUUUGAUGGUUUAAUUGUUUUUUAGCCCUUGAAUUUCAGGUGCUAUGAGAAAUGGAUUACAACCUCAUCUUGUUUUAGAACGAGUCCAAAAUUAAUAAUGAAUUUGAAGGUUCAAAAUACAAUUUUAUUAUUAUAUUAAUUUAUAAUUUCAUAAAUUUUAAAAAGGAUUAAAUGAUGAAGUUACUAAUUUAAGAAGACAAUAGGGAUGGUAAAAUCUAAUUGAACCUAUCUACGUUCGGAUCGGGAUGGAUUUUUUUAAUUUAAUAAAUUAAAUAGAUUGAAUCGAAAAUCUAGGAGUUACAAAAUUCUCAUAAAUAACAAGAGUUUACAAAAAGAACACUUACUUGGUUGAUGUAUGGUAUAGUAAGUCUGCAAAGCACUAAGAAGAAGUGCAGCAAUGGCACCCACAAAUGCCAAAAACGUCCAAGGACUCCUAAAAUAAGUAUGAUAACCUUGAGCUGCAUGCUUAAUCCACAUAUUCUUACAAUGAUUAUGUAUUAUCGGACUAGGAACCAAAUCAGUGUUCAUCUUAUUGAAAAGCUUAGCCACUUCUUCAUCACUCCCAAAUCUAUGGUAUAGUAUGCCGGCGUCUCUCAGUUUCUUAACAUCUUCGGCUUCAUCGAUCAAUGAAUCAAGGAAACCCAUAUAUGAAGUAACGGUGAAAUUGUUGUAGAAAUCCGGACACAUUUCGUAAGCUAUUAAGUUCAUGGUUGAAUCAUCGACGGUGAUCGGCGGUAACUGUAAUUUUUCGAGGAAUAAGAAACGGUUGAAACUGACGUCCUUUAAACAACUUGUUUCACUUGCUUUUAACCAUACCCCGGCGUUUUUAAGCUCUUUUAUGUUACAAAUGGUGUGUGAAUGGUGCCAUUUUGUUCUUGUUGGGUUGCUGCGAUUUAUCAAGUACAUGAAAAGUCGAGUGCAAAACCUACAAACCCGCCAUUGUUUUUCUUUUUCUUCUUUUUUGAAAAGGAGUCUUACUCGUAGUAGAUGCAAUAAGUGAAUUGGCUCUUCUUUUUUUUUCAUCUGCUGCCACCAUUCACUAGAGCAAAAUCUGUGUUAGUCGGGAGCCAGCUAAAAUUAAGGUUUUCAACGGUUGAAUCCAUAAGAUCAUUUAUUUAUAAGUUAAAUUUAUCCGAUUUGAAUAAAAAAUUUAAUUCUUUUAAAAAUUAUUAAAUUAUAAAUUUUUAUAUAUAAUAAAAUUAUACUUUUUACUCCUUAAAAUGAAUAAAAAAUUGUUUAACUCUUUUGAAAAAUGAUAAAAUCAUAAAUUAAUACAUGAAAAAGAAUCCAAGAAUCAAAUUAAAUUUGUCAGUUGGCCUGGUUCAAUAGAGAAUCAAACAAGGUAUUGAUCUAGAAUAAUGAGUUAGACCGGUUGAAUUGAGUGAUCAAAUAUAAAUUUUUUUAUAUUUUUAAUAUUUUAAUAUUUUAUUUAAUUAAAUUGAAUUAUCUAAUGAACCGAAAAUGAGACUCUAAUCGAUUCUAUCACUUAUUUUACAUUUAUAAACUCCACAAAAUGAUACUUUUGUAAAUUCCUUAAAUUACCUGUCCUGCUGAUGUGAUUGUGGCUCUUUAACAGUGCUGUCGAUGAACCUUAUGAUUGCCUCCAUGAACUUUUUGCCAUCGUUCGAUCUCGUAAGCAAUUCAAGAACACGAAAAGGUAAUUGGUUUUCCAACAAGAACAGAUCCGAGUACACAAAUGUUAGCAAUUCGUUUUUAAUAACCAAUUCGUUCGACGCACUAUCAUAAUCUUGGCGGCGGUAACGCAUAUAGACUGCUUGUAAAAUUGCGCAGCCGUCAACGAAGAACAUCCAAGCCAGUUUCUCGUUAUCGUCGCUAUACUUCUCUAAUCCCUUUGGAUCAUAGCAUUUCUUCAAGCCAUCGAUCUCUGUCUUCAAGUUGUUGUACAAGGUAUCCUUAUCGACGCCAAUGUUUUUGACGAAAAGUGCUGCUAAUUUGAGUUUGAACUUCUCGAAUUCAUGGAGGGUGGGAUCAUCGUGGUGGAGUGGGCCGAUUGAGAUCACUUUCGGAUUGAAAUACUUCCUGAAAUCUUCGUGACGGCUAAGGGUUGAUGGGACUCUUUGUAUCAAUGUUUUGGCAUUGGGGUCGAGUUCGUCGCCGUCGAAAGCUACGUCUAAUGACCGGAGAUUCCGUAAUUCGCUAUUGCUGCGAGUGAAGUUCGUACCUUGCAUUGGAAUGAUCGUCUCUAGGGGAUUGUUGUUGGUGUUGUUCUUGAUGAUUGUUUGAUCAGUGGAAACUGCUCCGACGGCGCCGCCUCCUCCCUCCGUGGACGACAUUUUCAGUCUGAGCGGUUCGAAGUAAUUAACUAGGUGAUUUUGUAGACUGUUUUUGGCUGAGUGAGUGAUGUUGGAAAAAAGGUGGCAAAAUGGCUACGAUAACGACAAAUGUUUCUAUAGCUUAUAUAAUAAACUUAAGGAAAAUAUUUUUGGUGUAAUAUCAAAUUUCGCUUCUAAUUUUUAUUAUUUUCAAUUUGAUUUUUAUUUUUUUAGUAAAAUUUAGCUUUUUACUUUUGAAAGAGUUAAAUUGAUUAUCAAUCCUUAAACUGAAUUAAUUUUUUUCAAAAAUAAUGACUAAAAUAUUAAAUUUUAAACAUGAUCACUCAUAUGACAAUUCACGUGUACAUGUUUUUUUUUAUUUUAAAAUUAUUUAUUGACAUGGCAUAUUAGAAAAGGACUAUUAUGUUAGCAUGAAGUGCAUAUAGAUUGUUACAUGAGUUGUAACACCAACACCGUAAAAAUUUAAUAUUUUAGUCAAUAUUUCUGUAAAAGAAAAGCAAUUUGACUUUUUUUUGAAAGGUUAAUAGAUAAAUUUAGCUCAAAUCAUAAUAAUAAUAAUAAAAGAAAAAGGUUUUUUUAACAAAAAAAUUGUAAAUGUCGAGGACUAACUUUAUUAUUAUAUCAUUUUUUCAAGUUUCACUUAUAAAAAUACAAUAUAGGUCCAAGUACAAAUAUAUGUCUGGAUUAAUCUAGAAAGAAUUAGACAAAAUCCACACAUGAUAUACGAAUAUGAUGAGAGUGAGACCCAUUUUAUAUCUACAACACUUCUUGAAUUUCAUACUCUUAAUACUAGCUUUUUUGUUUCUUUUUUUUUUUUUUGCUUCAUUUGAUCUGUUUUGUUGUAAAAAACAAACAGAAAAAUAUUCAAAAGUUUAACAUUAUAACAUUCCAAAAGAAACACAUUCAAUCACUAACAAAUCUACGUUUACAUCAAAGCAAUAGCUCACUAUCAAGCUUUGAACAUUUCCUCACGAUUUACCCCUGCAAUCGCCAAGGAAGAUACCAUUUCGUUUCCAUUCUUUUUUGCCAUAAAAAAACAACAUUUCCUUCAAAUACAUUUGUUUUCAUUUUUAUCAUUUAAGUUAUUUUGAAUUACUUUAGUAUUUAAAUUAUCAUUCUGUUAUACGAUUUAUUUCAAAUAUUUAACAGCAUUAAGAAAUUUAAGGACUAAAUUAAUCCAUUUAAUAGUAAAAGAAGUAAUCAAAUCAAUCCUAUAAUCUUAAAAUUACUUUUAUUUUUUGGAAAUACAGAGAGAAUAAAGAUGGUGCAUCUAAUUCAACCUUCUAAAAUUGACAAUUGUACUUUGCCAAGUUACGAAGUUUGGUAUUUGAUCUUACUUUUCUUUUUCUCUAGUAGGAGCCACUCUCAUGACUUUAUCAAAGGAUUUUGUUCCAACUGGCUGGCCACUUUAAUUUAAUUUUUUUAAAAAAUUAUAAAAAUAUUAAUUAAUACAAUAAUGAAAUUGCGUUUUAAGUAUUAUCAAAAUUUAUAACUUAAUUCCGAUCUUUCAAAAAAAUAUCUGACUUCGCCUUUAUUUCCGUACUAAUAAAAAUUCUAAUCUAUAUCAAUAGCACUGAGGGAACAUUGUGUCUUGAUUAAUAUAUGAAUGAUAUAUAUAUAUAUAUAAAUACUUCUUUUUCCAACUUUAAACUUUUAACUAAAUUAAAGUAGAAACUUUAAUAUUUUAAGUAGAAAAUAAAAUAAAUAAAUAAAAAUUAUUUAACGAGCACACAUUCACGUGUAUGCUUUUAUUAAACUUCAAUAUGGGAUCAUUUAUGGAUUUUUUAAAGUAAUAUUAUGGAUAACUUUUUGUUUAAUGUAUUGGUUGGGUUUAUUUAUUUAUUUAUUUUGAAUUGAUAAAUUUUAUUUGUGAAAUUUAUUGAUAAGUGUUUAUUUAAUUGAUUAAUAUUUUUAUAUUUAAAAUUUAUUUAACCUUAUUCACUUAAUGAUUUUAAAUAUUUCAAAAUUUUAUAUUGAUAAUUUUGAAAGGAUAUACCCAUUCAAAACAAUUUACGUGAAGGACUAUCUGUAAUAGAACAUAUCAUUUCUAGCUACGGAGCCCGAAAAGGGGUUGUCGAUACCGCCGUACGAAAAUAAGAUACUGAAUAUCUUAUGUGCAGACUUAUUAAAGUAGUUCAACACUGAACAUUUCUUAACCAUAAGAUCGAUCACAAGAAUUCUUCUUUGAUGAUUUUGUCUUUGCCACGAAAUCCAACAUGCAGUGUCAACAAAAACAUGUGCAUAAAUUUUGCUUUCUUUAAAAUGGUGGUAGUGUCUAUAAUUCACUCUACUUUAUUUGAAAGCUAUAGUUACAUUACCCUUGCUUUUUUUACGUAUAUUAAUUGCAUUUUUUGUUGUUGUACCUAACUCAUGAAAAAUAGACAACCAAUCAUUUUUUUGUCUUUUUGGUGUAAUUAUGGUAAAAUAAUUUUGAUUAUCUUUCAUAAAUUCAAUCUAGAACAUAAAAAGUUUAUCAAAUACUAUUUUUAAAACGUUGUUCAGAAGUUGUUUAAUUAUAAAAAAGUUACAAAAUGAUCAUUCAUCUAUUAGUAAAUUUUUAUUUUUGGUCAUCCAACUAUUUAAUUAUUUGUCUUUUUUUGUCGCCAGCCAGUUAACAUAAAAAUAAAAAUACCCAAAAAUCCAAGAUAGUUGAGUGACAAAAAAGAUAAAAUUAAAUAGUUGAAUUACUAUUUUGUAACUUUUUAUAGUGAAAUGACAAAAAAAGAGAAGAAAAAAAGUCAUAGUUUACUUUUGCAAGGAUAAUUAAGAAGAAAAUGUUAUCCCAACAAGACAGGUAGCAACAGUUAUUGAAGAAUCUAUACAAGGAAAAGGGCCUUAGGAUUAAUUUGCUAGUGCCACAAUAAAAAUUUCAAGCAUACAACAACAGCCAGCGAAAUCUAAGAAAGGUAUGCACUAAUAAAUUGUUUUUAAGGUCAAGAUACAAUUCUACCAUAUAUUAACAUGUAAAGUAAAAAUUUUUAAAAAGACCCAAAGUAUAAAUUCCCAUUUUAGGGACCAGAGUCUUGCCUACCCUUUUGCCACCCUCCUUAGUAAUUUAUCUAUUUUGGUUUUAAAUUUUUUUUUGUCUAAAUUAAUCCAUAGUUUUUCUUAAAUUAGUCUUUGAACUUUUGUCAAUGCUGCAUCAUUACUUGGAUUUAUUCUUUUUAGAUUUUAUGUAAGUUUUUUCAAAUGAUUACAUGGCUUUAAUAGAAUUCAAGUUUAAUGACUUAAUUAAAAAAAUUUGUUAAGUUCAAAGAUUAAAUAUUGUUUUAUCCCUAAUAUUUGUUACCGUGUUUUAAAAGUUCAUUGAAUUUCUUGCCUGCUAAAAACUAGUCCAUGCAUGUCAGCGUAAGGUACACGUGGCGCAUCAUUUGUCAUUUUUUAGUUAUUUCGUUAGCCACACUAAUUUUUAACAUUACAAAUAGAUAAAGGUUUUAACAGAAAUAACCAAUUUACUUUUUAAUCUAAACAUAUAAAGACUAAUUUACUCAUUUAUUAAAAUAAGAAACAAAAUACAAUCCAACGCUUAAUAUAAAUACUUCCAUAACACUUUCAUCCAUUUUCACAUUAUUUUAUCAUAUAUAUAUAUAUAUUUACCAUACGCCUAUCAAUUGUCAAUUAAUGUUCAAAUUGUCUGGUCUUGCUUGGCAUCAUUGAUUUCAUUUGUCAAUUAAUGAUUGUAGAUUGACAACAUUGAUCUUUCUAUGCACGGGGAGGGGACUACUCCUUUUCUGCCAUUUUCACUACCCAUUGCAUUCAUUUUCUCUGCCCUACUGCUCCUCUGCGCACUGCACUCUCCAAUUGUAUUUAAAGACAAUAUGUACAUAUAGAUUGUAAAUUUUCUUGGCUGGAAGCUCACUGGAAGCCAAAAUCAAAACAAACUUUUGAUGGUUUAAUUGUUUUUAAGCCCUUCAGUUUCAGGUGCUAUGAGAAAUGGAUUACAAUUUAGUUUUGAAAUAUAUAUUUUUAUUGAAGUGAAAAUGUAAUUUAAUUAUAUUGAUUUGUAAUUUUACAUUUUUUAAAGGGACUAGAUCAAAUUUUUAUUAUUUUGGAGAUCAAUAUGCAAUUUCACAUGUAAAAUUACAACUUUCAAGAAGACUCAAAGCAUAAAUUACCAUUUUAGGGGACCAAGGUCUUGCCUACCCCUUGUCGCCACCCCUCAUUGGUAAAUUUUCUACUUCGGCCUUUGAAUUUUUUGUCUAAAUUUAUCUUGAAAUUUGAUAGUUUUUCCUAAUUUAGUCCUUGAACAUUGGUCUAUGUUACAUUUUGGAAUUUUUUUUAAAAAAAAUUUUAAAAUUUCAAAUGAUGACAUGAUUCUUUAACAAAAUUCAAGUUCAAGGAUUAAAUUUUAAAAAAAUUGUUAAGUUCAAAGACUAAAUAUUACAUUAUCCUUAAUAUUUGUUAACCUGUUUUAGAAGUUCAUUGAAUUUCUUGCCUGCUUACUUUUGUUAUUAACCAUUGCAUUGUUCUUCUUUGUUUAAUUUUAGGCCCCAUAAUAAAAAAAAACGGAUGAGAAAUUCCUAAAAUCAUUAGAAACAAGAAAAUAUGAUCUCAAAUCCAAUGAAUUAUCUAAUCAAGUUACAGAGACUUAGGCCUGGCUAUGGUGAAUUCAUACCCUACAUUUUAGUAGGCACAGGUGGAUUUUAAGAACACAAACAAUUAAAUUGGCUAAAUUUACUUAUAUCCACCAAAUUAGGACAGACAUUGGAUGAAACCACAAGGGAAAUUACAAACAACCAACCCCUUUUUUUUUAUUGAAGUUAUUAUACUUAUAAGCUUUCACAUGUAACCAUGCUUCUUGUAACACAUUUCAUUGGAUCCGAUUGUUGGGUCCGAUCUAUAGGAUGCUACAGUCAUUGUCAAAGCAACUACAGUCAGAAUUACGAUAAGAUAAUUUUCAUUUAAACAUCAAUCACGCUUCAAUUACAGCAAUACAUUAAUUAUGAGCUUUAAUCGAGCUUACGAAAGCUUUUUUGGCAGUCUGAACAAGAAUUAGGACCAAACUGUAAAUUGGCUAAAUUUACUUAUAUCCACCAAAUUAUUAAAAUUUUAAAAUAUAUUCAAAAAAUUAGGACAAACAUUGGAUGAAACCACAAGGGAAAUUACAAACAGGAUCAAAUUGAAAGAAAAGCAAAAUGACAUGGAAGGAGUAAAAGAAGAGAUGGCUAAAUUGCCUGAAAAUUUAGCACCUAUGUUAAGCAACAUUGAUGAUAAAACACAUAGGAUGGAACCUAACUCAUGAAAAAUCUCAAAUUUGCAACCCCAUAUUAUUCACAUGCCAACCAACCAAUUUUUUUUUUUUGCCCUUUUUGGUGUAAUUAAGGUAAAAUAAAUCUGGGCCAACCAACCAACCAAUUUAUUUUUUUGUCCUUUUUGGUGUAAUAAAGGGACUACAAGACAGGUAGCAACAGUUAUUGAAGAAUUAGUCACGUUUUAAAUAUUUUCUUCUAAGUAAGCACAACGACAUUAAGAAAUUUACUUUAAAAGAGUCUAUAUAAGGAAAGGGCCUUAGGAUUUGCUACUGCCUCACUCGCUUCAGCAACAAUCGCUUCUAAUUUUCAGUCUGAGCGGUUCGAAGUAAUUAACUAGGUGAUUUUGUAGACUGUUUUUGGCUGAGUGAGUGAUGUUGGAAAAAAGGUGGCAAAAUGGCUACGAUAACGACAAAUGUUUCUAUAGCUUAUAUAAUAAACUUAAGGAAAAUAUUUUUGGUGUAAUAUCAAAUUUCGCUUCUUAUAUUUAUUAUUUUCAAUUUUAUUUUUAUUUUUUUAAGUAAAAUUUAGCUUUUUACUUUUGAAAGAGUCAAAUUGAUUAUCAAUCCUUCAAAAAAAGAGUCGAAUUAAAUUUUUUUAAAAUAAUGACUAAAAUAUUAAAUUUUAAACAUGAUCACUCAUAUGACAAUUCAUGUGUACAUUUUUUAUUAUUAUUUUAAAAUUAUUUAUUGACAUGGCAUAUAAGAAAAUGGCUAUUAUGUUAGCAUGAAGUGCACAUGGAUUGUCACACGAGUUGUAACACCAACAACAUAAAAAAAAUUAAUAUUUUAAUCAAUAUUUCUGUUAAAGAAAAGCAAUUUGACUUUUUUUUGAAAGGUUCAUAGCUAAAUUUAGCUUAAAUAAUAAUAAUAAUGAUAAAAAAAUAAAAGUCAAUUUGACAGAAAAUGUAAAUGUGGAGGACUAAAUUUAUUAUUAUGUCAUUUUUCUAAGUUUCACUUAUAAAAAUACAAUAUAGGUCCAAGUACAAAUAUGUGUCUGGAUUAAUCUAGAAAGAACUAGACAAAAUCUAUACAUGAUAUACGCAUAGAUGAGAGUGAGACCCAUUUUUAUAUCUACAACACUUCUUGAAUUUCAUACUCUUAAUACUAGCUUUUUUGUUGUUUGUUUUGCUUCAUUUGAUCUGUUUUGUUGUAAAAAACAUAAAGAAAAACAUUCAAAAGUUUAACAUUAUAACAUUUCAAAAGAAAACACAUUCAAUAAGUAACAUAUCUUGUAUUCUUGUAUUCUUUGAUCAAAUAGUGCAAGUGUAUUUAUACAGACUUUUGGAGGGUAACUACUGAACUGCUACUAACAACUUUUUAGCAGAAAGUUUAACAACUUAACCACCUAACAGAUUGCAUUUACCUAUGCUCUAAGAUUCUGUAAUGCGAAAUCAUACUUCAAAUUGUAAUUAUUACUUCAUAACAAUACAAGAUUUUCGUUACAAUGCUAGGAUUACUUAUAAACCCCAACCAUAAAUGAGAGGAUAAAGAUACUUUAAUAAGUUCGAAUCUUUGUCCUUUUGUAUUGACAAUAAUACUGAUAUCAAUCGAACUAAAAUUCAGUAUAACAAUGGUUAAAUGAAUUUUAAGUACACAUAUUACUCUUAUGAUGUAAGUAUUUAGGAUAAAUCACCCUCCAUGGUCAAACAAAUGGACCCAGGCUAUAAUUUGUAUAUAAAAAAAAAUUAAAAAGCAUUAGUAAAAUGUAUAUAAAAUUUAUUAACUUUCAAUAUUUAUAAUAAAUUAAACACAAAUAUAAUAUAAAAGCCUUGAUGCCUUGAAUCCUUUAGGGCUCUUCAACCUGCCUUUAAUUUUUGUGUUUGGAUGAUCCUUGGCUGCCACAAAUUGAAGAAAGAAAAUAUAAAAGCAUUUCCAAACAAAUACACACAACAAAACACUUCAGCAUGUAAGAAAUUUAUAUUAUAAAGGUUUUGGUUUUUGGAUUGUAUCAUUAAGAAUAAAAUUAUUUUAGGUAAAAGAUUGUUUCGGGUUAAUGUUAAAUGAGUUUGAAUUGUUAACUUUUUAUGGUAAAAUUGAAUUGAGUAAUUAAAAUUUUAAAUUCAUGCAUUUAGUUGAAAAUAUUUAAAGAAUAAAAAAGAAAUCAAUAAAUUUUAGAAAAUUAUCAUUAAAUCUUUCAAAAUUUUGACAUUUGUACUUAGAAAUCUUAAUUUAAAAAAAAAAAAUCCUAAUUAAGCCUUGUUGAAAAUUUCAAAAGUUAACCAUUAAUUUUAUCAUAAAUUUUGAUUAAAGCUCUUAAAUUUUAUUUUUAAAAGAAAAUUUCAUUAAAACUCCAAAAAUUAAAUAAAUUGAAUCGAAAAUCCAGGAGUUACAAAAUCAUCAUAAAUAACAAGAGUUUACAAAAAGACAAGUAAAGAACACUUACUUUUGUUAAUGCAUGGCAUAAUAAGUCUGCAAAGCACUAAGACUAAGUGCAGCAAUGGCACCCAAAAAUGCCAGAAACGUCCAAGGACACCUAAAAUAAGUAUCAUAACCUUUAGCUGCAUGAUUAAUCCACAUAUUCUUACAAUGAUUAUGUAUUUUCUCUUUAACCCCACUGUAAAUCAUCGGACAAGAAACCAAAUCAGUGUUUAUCUUAUUGAAAAGCUUAGCCACUUCUUCAUCACUUUCGAGAGAGCUUUCGGACCGGACCAGGUGGCCCGGCACACUAACAACAAGGCAGGUUCCAACAGUUAUUGAAGAAUCUAUAUAAGGAAAAGGGCCUUAGUUUUUGGUAGUGACACACUCACUUUAGCAACAAUCACUUAAAAUUUUCAAGCAUACAACACCUGCAGCAGCAGCAGCCAGAUAAAUCUAAGAAAGGUAUGCACUAAUCAAUUGUUUUUAAGUGCUAAUAUUUAGGGAUAAAAGUAGAGGUGAUCAUGGGUUGGACUACCCGACCCGGCCUAAUGGCCCACCCGAAAAAUGAGAGGGCUCGGGUAAAAAUAUAGGCCCAAAAUAUGAGUUUGGGCAAAAAAAAGAGGUCCGUUUAGAAAACGGGCCGGGCCUCGGGUAAGACCUUUUUGGCCCAAGCCCGACCCAAAUUAUAUAUUAAAUAUAUAUAUUUUUAUUUUAUUUUUAAUCAAAUAUACUUUUUAUUAACUAUAUAUAUUUUUUGGACUUUUAAUCCGAAUUAUAUAUUAAAUAUAUAUUUUUAAUUUUAAUCAAAUAUGGGCCAGGCCGGGCUCAGGCUUAGCAAUUUUCUUUCGGGCCGGGCCCAAAAUGGGCCUAAAUUUUUUGUCUAGGCCCGGCCCGGCUCAAACCUGACCCGACCCGGCCCAUGAUCACCUCUAGAUAAAAGUAAUGUCUAAUUAUCUAAAUUUGAUAAUAGGAACGAAGUUAAAAAAGGUUUUACAAGUUUAAGUUUUUAAAUAUAUAUUUUUAUGAAAGUUAAAAUGUAAUUUAAUCAUAUCAGUUUGUAAUUUUACUUUUUUUUCUUAAAGGGACUAGAUCAAAUUUUUAUCAUUUUGGAGGUCAAUAUGCAAUUUUACCAUGCAUUAACAUGUAAAAUUACAACUUUAAAAGAGACCCAAAGCAAAAAUUUUCAUUUUAGAGGACCAAGGCCUUGCCUACUCCUCAUUGGCAAUUUAUCUACUUUGGUCUUUGAACUUUUUUUUUUUGUCUAAAUUAAUCUUGAAAUUUGAUAUUUUUUUUUUAAUUUAGUCAUUGAACAUUGGUCAAUGCUACAUCAUUACUUGGAAGUUUUUUUAAAAAAAUUCUUUUUAUUCUUUUUAGAUUUUAGGUAAGUUAUUUAAAAUUUCCAAAUAAUGACAUGGUUGUUUAACAGAAUUCAAGUUCAAGGACUAGAUUAAAAAAAUUGUUAAGUUCAAAGACUAAAUAUUGGUUUAUCCCUAAUAUUCGUUACCCUAUUUUAGAAGUUCAUUGAAUUUCUUGCCUGCUUACUUUUGUUAUUAACCAUUGCUUUGUUCUUCUUUUUUUAAUUUUCGGUCCCAUAAUCGAAAAAAAUGGAUGAGAAAUAUCUAAAAUCAUUAGAAACAAGAAAAAUAUGAUCUCAAAUCCAAUGAUUUACCCAUAUCAAGUUACAGAGACUUAGGCCCUGGCUAUGGUGAAUUCAUCCCCUACAUUUUAGGCCUAGGUGAAUUCCAAGAACACAAACAAUUAAAUUGGCUAAAUUUAUUCAUAUCCACCAAAUUAUUAGAAUUUUCAAAUAUAUUCAAAAAAAAUAGGAGAGACAUUGGAUGAAACCACAAGGUAAAUGACAAACAGGAUAAAAUUGAAAGAAAAGCAAAAUGACAUAGAAGGAAUAAAAGAAGGGAGGGCUAAAUUGCCUGAAAAAUUAGCAUGUGUGUUAAGCAACAUUGAUGAUAAAACACAUAGGAUAGAGCAUAUGGAAUGUAGCAUGGAAGAGAACAUGUAUAAGAUCGGGCAAAUUAAAAUUAUAGAAGAAUUGAGGGGCCUGAAAAGGGAAAUAAAAGAGUUAGAGGAGGAUGUGAAAGAAAUUAAAAUAAAAGUUAGUAUGAAAGAAAGAUAAGGGUAUUCUUUUGCUAGUCAUGGAUGUAAUAACGAAGAUCAAUUUUCGUCGGUGUUGUAUGGAAGAAUUGAAGAUGGAGUGAACGAGUUUUUAAGAUUUUUAAAGUUUAAUAUCGAAGGAUUGUUUAUGUGGGUAUGUGAGUGUGUUUCUAUUGUAAGGAAUGGUGUAAAACAAUUUACGAUUUAAGGUUUUGUUAUAUAAGGAAGGAAAGCGCCUUUUAAGAUUAUUAGAGGUACUUAUUCUCGUGUUGUAUUUUGUAUUAAGUUGUACUUUUUUUAGUGUAUGCAUUAUGGACCUUUUGAUGUGGUACAAGUUUAGUUCUUUUGAGUGUGUCUUGUGAUGUUAAGUAUGUUUUGUUGGGGCUCUUAGGCUCCUAUAUUUCAAUGAUAAUAAAAUAUAUUUUAAGUAUAGCGUAUUUGUAUAUUUAGAAUUUAAUAUUAUACUUUUAUUUUAAGAUAAUCUCUCUACUACAACAAUGUUUAAUGUAAAUAUGAACUCAUGUUGUGAUUUACUAUUAUCAUCUGAUUGGAAUUAGACCUGAUCAUGGCCUGACUCAGUCCAAAGGCCCGCUCGAAAUGUGAGAAGGUUUGGGCAAAAAUAUAUGCCCGAAAAAUAGGUUUGGACAAAAAAGUAAGGUCCGUUUAAAAAAUGGGCCGAGCCUCAGGUAAGGCAUUUUUGUCCUGAGCCCUGCUCGAAUCCACUAAAGGACAAAAAAAUAUGUUUUUUUAUAUAUUAUUUUCUUGUUGUUUUCUCCCUAUUUUCUCCCUAUUUUACUAUUAUGUUGCUACUAUUUUGUUAUUAUUAUUUGGAUAUUGUAUAAAACUUAUUUUAUUAUUAAUUUUGUUAUUAUUUUAAAGACAUUUGUUAAUUUUGUUAUUAUUUUAGAGACAUUUGCUUGUUAAAUUGCAUCAAUCUUAGUGUUAUUUAAGUAUAUAUAUAUUUAAUUUUUUUUCAAUUUGUUGAGAAAGAUUUAUUUUGAUAUUUUUAGUAUUUUUGAUGUAUUAUGUAUUUUUUAAAAUUAUAUAAAAAAUAUUAUAAAAAAUAAUAUGGUCGGCCGGGUCGGGCCUGAGUUUUAGCAUUUUUAUCCAGGUCGAGCUUGGGUAAAAUUUUAGGCCCAUUUUUUGGGUCGGGCCCGGGCCUAGCAAACGGGACUAAUUUUUUAGUUGAGCUCGGCCCGAACCUUGCCCGGCUCGGCCCAUGCUCACUUCUAAUUGGAAUGCAACAUAUAUUUAAACUUCGACAUGAAACUAAAUUCCUCCAUAAAUUAGAAAAAUAUCAUUAGUUCUUCUAUAAAUUCAGCAUUUGAUUGUUUUUCUAGUUUGGUAAUUUAUCAACUCAAUCUCGAUUAUAACCAACUUUUUUGACAUUUUUUCACACCUUUAACCUAAUCACCAUUACAACCUCUUGAAGACCUCUUGAUUGGUGUGUCAUAUCAUUUUAUAGUGGUGGAGAUUUGAUUUUCAAGCAAGCCUAUGGAAAUGACAUUUCUUGUUCGACGGUUGAGUGCAAAUUUCUUGAACCUUAAACACUUUGAGUGCUUUAAGUGAAUCUUUAGUGAGGAUGUCAAUAUUUGUUGAUUUUGAAUUAAAGAUAAUUAUUUAAAUAAGGGGAGACACCUAUGUUUUCGCACGUUAAAAUUUCGAUUUGAAUUGUUUGGAUCUUUAGUGUCCUUUUAGUUGAAUUGUCAAUGCAUGAUUGUUUGCGAAUUAUUUGAAGGAGUAUUGAUGAGAAUUACGAAUUGAGAAAUGUUAACUUUAAUGUGGGUUGAGGAUUUUUCUUUAGGAUAAGCAAACACUUAAGUGUGGGGUAUUUGAUAAGUGAUAGAAGUAACAUAUUUUAAUCUAGUUCUUAAUGCAUUUUUGGAUGAUUAUUUAUGUAAAUUGGUGAAUUUUAUGCUCCUAAUCUUUUAAAUUCUUGUUUCUAUACUUAGGAGAGCAUUCGGGAGCAAAAAAAGCGAAAAACAAGCGAAAAUCGAACAAAUAGAGCAAAUUUCAAGAGCCACAUGGCCUUGUGCUAGAUAUGUUGAAUAUUUCAUAAUUCAUGUCCCAAACACACGGAAAAACGUAAUUUUUAGGCUUUUUGGGUAUUCUAAACCCUAUAAAUACCAAAUAGAGGAAGAGAAUAGGGGGUGAUCAGAGAGUAUUGAAGAAAACAACUUGGAGAAUACCAUUAAAGCCAACUCUGAAGCAGAUUUCCAUCAAGAUUGAAGACCUCCUUUUAAUUUCUUUGAAGUUUUUAUGAGUUUUUUUAUUUAUUUCUUGUGGUUAUUAUACUGUCUUUGAGAUAUUUUUAUCUACAAUUAUGAAUUAAUUCUUUAGAUACCUAGGGGAGAUGAACCCUAUGAUGAAUUCUAUUAUUUAGUUUAUGUUUUACACGAUAAAUACUUGAAUCUUGUUUUUAAUUAUGUGUACUUAUCUCUUAUUUUAAUAUUUCAUGAAUAUUAAUUCAUGUUUAAUGUGCUUAAAUCAGAUGACGAAAAGUCCCUGUUUACGAGUAGAUCUAGUUUAAUUGAGUGGAGUUGCAUGCAAUACUAAAAAUAGGACGACAUAAAUCUACUGGAUUGGAGUCAAAUCUAAUAGGGGAAUUCAUAUAUCGAGUUAAUGCAAUAAUAGGAGUUUUAAUUAGAAAGAAAUUUCAAUUAAUCAACCUAGAGUCAAUUGCUCUUAGUCUAAAAAAGAAUUCACUUAGACUUCGUCUAUCAUUAUGAAUCUGAAUUAAAUGAUUUAUUCACUUAGUAUUUUGAUCCGUAGAAAUCCAAAUACUUAGGGAGAUGAACACUAUGAUAAAUUCUAUUAUUUGAUUUCUGUUUUACACGAUAAAUACUUGAAUCUUGUUAUUAGUUAUGUGUGUUUAUAUCUUAUUUUAAUAUUUCUGAAUAUUUUAAUAUAAAUACUAUUUCUUUUACCAACUUUAAACUUUAACUAGUUAUUUAACAAAUAAUCCAAAGACUGUUUAAGAAGACAAAAGGGAUGCAACUUAUCUGCGUUCGGAUCGGGAUGGAUUCUUUUUUAUUUUUUUAAAAAAAUUCUCCUAAACAAAUUAAAUAGAUUAAUCGAAAACCCAGAAGUUACAAAUUUCUCAUAAUUAAAAAGAGUUUACAAAAAGAAAAGUAAAGAACACUUACUUUUGUUGAUGUAUGGUAUAAUAAGUCUGCAAAGCACUAAGAAAAAGUGAAGCAAUGGCACCCACAAAUGCCAAAAACGUCCAACGAACUCUAAAAUAAGUAUCAUAUGCUUGAGCUGCAUGAUUAAUCCACAUUUUCUUACAAUGAUUAUGUAUUUGCCGUUUAACCUCACUGUAAGUCAUCACACUAGGAACCAAAAUAGUGUUCAUCUUAUUGAAAAGCUUAGCCACUUCUCCAUCAGUCCCCAAUUCAUUGUGCAGUAUGCCGGCGUCGCUCAGUUCUCUAACAUCUUCGGCUCCAUCGAUCAAUGAAUCAAGGAAACACAUAUAUGAAGUGACGGUGAAAUCGUUGUUGAAAUCCGGACACAUUUCUUAAGCUAUUAAGUUCAUGGUUGGAUCAUCAAGGGUGAUCCGCGGUAACCGUAAUUUCCCGACAAAGAAGAUUUGUUUGAAACUGAUGUCGGUUAAACAACUUGUUUCGCUUGCUUUUAACCAUAUCCAGGCCUUUUUAAGCUCUUUUACGUUACAAAUGGUGUGUGAAUGGUGCCGUUUGCUUCUUGCUUCAGAGGAAAAACAAAAAUUCCACCACAUGGUUUAGGGUUUAAGCUCUUGAAUGAUUUUUCUUUUCUGAAAAGGAGUCUUUCUCGUAGUAGAUGCAAUAAGUGAAUUCGCUCUCCUUUUUGCUGCUCCCACCACCAUUCACAUGAAACAGUCCAUCUUGCGCAACACGAGACUGCCGAUUUUCAUACUCAAGAAGCACAUCAAUAAGCCGAGGCAGAGGAAGAGGUUCCGCCGAGAAGGAAGCCAGAGUGAGGACGUCACCGUACUCCGGAGGGAGAUCGACAAGGAUAAUUUCAACGCGAUCGACCUCCGAGACCCGAGAUCCAGAAGGCUCAAUCAGUGCAGAGGUAUUGUUAAUUUUUGCGAUAUAUUCCUUCAUUGUCAUGGCCCCCUUCUUGAUCGAGUGGAGCUCACGUCAAAUACGCGACAAUUUGGCGCCGGUGGCGGCGGCGAACAAGCGAGUCGCGGUAGUCCAUACAUCACACGCGGAUCUGGCAUUCGUGAAGUAGGAAAGGAGAGGACUACUAACAGUAGAAAGUAACCAUGACGCAAGAAGCUUAUCUUGCUGGUGAAACAACGAAGCCUCUGGAUUCGGAACCGGAGGACCCUCCUGAGAUUGGAUGAACCUCGGCGGAGCAGGUAAAGUACCAUCAAGAAAACCAGUUAAUUCAUAGCCUUCAACAAUUAAACUUAUGUGAUGCUGCCAUUGCACAAAAUUAGACUCGUCUAAUUUGACAGCAUCAUGCCUAGGAAAGCUUUGUAUUAAACGAGAAUUUGCAGGUUGGAAAUUGGACGGAUUACCAGUGUUAGUAGAAACAGAGUCGUUUGACGUAGCCAUGAAGUCGAGCAGCACAAGCAGGUCACCAGAUCGUAGGCGACUGAUACCAUGUAAGCAUAUGUACUUUCUUGAAUGAAACAGAAAAUUACUACAGAGUAAUCUGAAACUUUUAGCUAUUAUCUUGUAUUCUUUGCUCAAAUAGUGCAAGUGUAUUUAUACAGACUUUUGGAGGGUAACUACUGAACUGCUACUAACAACUUUUUAACAGAAAGUUUAACAACUUAACCACCUAACAGAUUGCAUUUACCUAUGCUCUAACAUUGUGUAAUGCGAAAUCAUGCUUCAAUUGUAAUUAUUACUUGAUAACGGUACAAGAUUUUCAUUACAAUGCAUAGAAUUACUUAUAAUUCCCAACCAUUAAAUAAGAGGAUAAAGGCACUUUAGCAAGCUCGAAUCUACAUCUUUUUGUAUUGACAACAAUACUAUAUCAAUUGAACUAAAACUCAGUAUAAUAAUGGUUAAUUGAAUUUUAAGUACACAUAUUACUCUUAUGAUGUAAGUAUUUAGGAUAAAUCACCCUCCAUGGUCAAACAAAUGGACCCAAGCUAUAAAUUGUAUAUAAAAAAAAAUUAAAAAGCAUUAGUAAAAUGUAUAUAAAAUUUAUUAACUUUCAAUAUUUAUAAUAAAUUAAACACAAAUAUAAUAUACAAAGCCUUGAUGCCUUGAAUCCUUUAGGGUUCUUCAACUAGCCUUUAAUUUUUGUGGUUGGAUGAUCCUUGGCUGCCACAAAUUGAAGACAAAAAAAAUAUAAAAGCAUUUCAAAACAAAUACACACAACAAAACACUUCAGCACGUAAGAAAUUUAUAUUAUAAAGGUUUUGGUUUUUGGAUUGUAUCAUUAACAAUAAAAUUAUUUUAGGUAAAAGAUGGUUUCGGGGUUAAUGUUAAACGAGUUUGAAUUGUUAACUUUUUAUGGUCAAAUUGGAUUGAUUAGUUAAAAUUUUUAGCUCAUGCAUUUAGUUGAAAAUAUUUAAAUAAUAAAAAAAAAUCAAUAAAUCGACCGGUUCAACCUAAGGACAAAAUGUAAGAUGAGAGCCUUCAAAAUUUUAGAAAAUUAUCAUUAAAUCUUUCAAAAUUUUGACAUUUUUACUUAGAAAUCUUAAUUUUUAGAAAAUCCUAAUUAAGCCUUGUUGAAAAUUUUAAAAGUUAACCAUUAAUUUUAUUAUAAAUUUUGAUUAAAGCUCUUAAAUUUUAUUUUUAAAAGAAAAUUUUCAUUAAAACACCAAAAAUUAAAUAGAUUGAAUUGAAAAUCCAAGAGUUCCAAAAUUAUCAUAAAUAACAAGAGUUUACAAAAAGACUAGUAAAGAACACUUACUUUUGUUGAUGCAUGGCAUAAUAAGUCUGCAAAGCACUAAGAGUAAGUGCAGCAAUGGCACCCAAAACUGCCAAAAACGUCCAAGGACUCCUAAAAUAAGUAUGAUAACCUUGAGCUGCAUGAUUAAUCCACAUAUUCUUACAAUGAUUAUGUAUUUUCUCUUUAACCCCACUGUAAAUCGUCGGACUAGGAACCAAAUCAGUGUUCAUCUUAUUGAAAAGUUUAGCCACCACUUCAUCACUCCCCAAUCUAUUGUAUAGUAUGCCGGCGUCUCUCAGGUCUUUAACAUCUUCGGCUUCAUCGAUCAAUAAAUCAAGGAAACACAUAUAAGAAGUGACGGUGAAAUUGUUGUCGAAAUCCGGACACAUUUCGUAAGCUAUUAAGUUUAUGGUUGAAUCAUCAACGGUGAUCGGCGGUAACCGUAAUUUUCCGAAGAAGAAGAUAUGGUUGAAACUGAUGUCGGUUAAACAACUUGUUUCGCUUGCUUUUAACAUUAUGCCGGCCUUUUUAAGCUCUUUUACGGUACCAAUGGUGCGUGAAUGGUACCGUUUUGUUCUUGCUUUGUUGAUAAAUCUGCUUUCAAUGAAACGCCACCACCAUGGUUUUUCUCGUAGUCGAUGCAAAAAGUAAAAUCGUACUUUUCUGAAAAGGAGUCUUUCUCGUAGUAGAUGCAAUAAGUGAAUUCGCUCUCCUUUUUGCCGCUCCCACCACCAUUCACUACACCAAAAUCUGUGUUAGUCGGGAGCCAACCUAUAAUUUCCUUUUUUUUUUUUUGUUGUUGUUGGAUUUGGAAUUGUUAAUUUUUAUGAAGCUAAAAUUAAGAUUUUCAAAAUAGAUAAUCUAACGAUUAAAUUAUUGAUUUAUAAAUCUCAAUUUAUUUGAUUUAAUUAAAUAAAUUAUUAAAAAUUUCGAUUUAAUAACGUGGUUUAAUUAAAAUAUUUUACCCUAUUCAUAUAGAUUUUUAAGUUAGUUGGUCUAACAAUUUUCUCCAAAUAUCAACUCAAUUAAUUUUCAAACCAAAUCGAUUCAACCAAUAUCAGCUAAAAUACAAUUUUUAUUUUUGUAUUAAUGCAAAAAUCUUACCAUUUUUAAGAUAUUAAACUUUUCCAUUUUGAAAAGUUGGAUUUGAAAUCAUAAUUUUUCAUUUCUAAAAACUGUACACUCAACAGGAUCAAUGCAAACAGACAGGCAGGGGUCGUUCCCAAGAAAUGAAAAUUUACAUUUUAAUCUUUUUAAAAAUUAUUAAAUUAUAAUAAGCCCUUAAAUUAAAAAAUAAUUAUUCAAUUUUAAAAAAAAAAGAUAAAAUUAUAAAUUAAUACAUGAAAAUAUUAAAGGAUCAGACUAUACUUGUUAAUUAGGUUGGUUGAAUAAAAAAUCGAAUAAAAUUAGAGUUAGACCAAUUGAAUCAAAGAAUCGAAUCAAUUUCUUUUAUAUUUUAAUAUUUUCAAAAAAUUAUAUAAUUAAUAACCAAAAAUGAGAGUCUAAUAGAUUCCAUCACCCAUCUAGUUAUAAAAACCAUUUAACAUUUAUAAACUCCACAAAAAUGAUUCUUUAUUUAUUUCCCUAAAUUACCUGUCCCCGCCUGGGUUGAUAACAGUGUCGUCGAUGAACCUUUUGAUUGCAUUCAUGAACUUUUCGCCAUUUUUGCUCGAGCUUGUAAGCAAUUCCAGAACACGAAAAGGUAUUUGGUUUUCCAACAAGAACAGAUCCGAGUACACAAAUCUCAGCAAAUCGUUUUUAAUAAACAGUUUACCAUCAUCAUCAUCAUUAUCGUAACGCAUGUAAACUGCUUGUAAAAUUGCGCAGCCGUCAACGAAGAACAUCCAAGCCAGUUCCUUGUUAUCGUCGCUAUAUUUCUCUAAUUCCUGUGGAUCAUAGCAUUUCCUCAAGCCAUCCAUCUCUUUCUUAAUGUUGCUGUACAAGGAUUCCCCAUCGACACCAACUUUUUUGACGAAAUGUGCUGCUAAUUUGAGCUUGAGCUCCUUGGAUUCAAUGAGGGUGAGAUCAUCGUGGUGGAGUGGGCCGAUUGAGAUCACUUUCGGCCAGAAAUACUUCUUGAAAUCUUCGUUACGUCGGAGGGCUGAUGGGACUUUUCGUAUUAAUGGUUUGGCAGUGAAGUUGGGUUGGCCGGCGUAGAAAGCUUCGUAUAAUGACCGGAGAUUCGCUACUUCGCCAUCGCUGAGAGGGACGUCCGUGAACAGCAUAUCAAUUCUCACGUAAUCGUUGUUGGUGUUGUUGUCGAUGAUUGUUUGAUCAGUGGAAACUGCUCCGACGGCGCCACCACCUUCCUCCGUGGACGACAUUUUCAGGCUGACCGGCUCGAAGUAAUUAACAAGGUGAUUUUGAAAACUAGUUUUGGCUGAUUGAGUGAUGUUGGAAAAAAGGUGGCAAAAUGGCUACGAUGAUGACAAAUGUUUCUAUAGCUUACAUACAGAGGCGAAUCUAGGGAAAUGUAAAAUUGUUAUUUAGGACCUUAAAUAUUUUUAAAAAUUUUAAAUUAAUAAAGGUAAAAUUACACAUUGACCUCAUAAAAUUAUAAAAAUUUAAUUUAAUCCUUUAAAAAUUAUAAAGAUAUAGACUACAAAAAAUUAAAAUUUCAUUCGAUCCACCCUAAAAAAUUAUUCGGGCUUCGCCACUGCUUACAUAAUAAACAUAUGGAAAAUACUUUUGGUGUAAUUCAAAUUUACCCCUUAUAGUCAAUUUAAUUUUCAUUUUUUUAAUUUAAUUUUCUAUCUUUUGGAAGAGUCGAAUUUAACUAUCAAUUUAAAUUAAUAUUUUUUAACGAAAAUAGUGACUAAAAUAUUAAAAUAUUAAACAUGACAACUCAAACGACAAUCCACAUCUAUAUGUUUUUUUAUUUAUUUCUUAUUUUUAAAUUAUUUAUUGACGUGACAUAUAAUAAAAGUAUUAUUAUAUUAGCAUGAAGUACACAUGGAUAGCCACACGAGUUGUGACACCAAUAUCGUUAAAAAAUUAAUAUUUUAGUUAGCAUAUUUGUUAAAGAAAAGCAAAUUCACUCUUUUUUCAAAUGUUAAUGGCUAAAUUUAGCUCAAAUGAAAAAAAAAUAAAGGCCAAUUUGAUAAAAAAAGGUAAAUGUCAAGAGUUAAGUUUAACAUUUAUACAAGUACAAAUAUAUGUCUGGAUUAAUCUAGAAAGAACAAGACAAACUCUACAGGUGAUAUACAAAUGUGAUGAGAGUGAAACCUGCACAUCACAAUUGAGAAUAAUAUUAUAGAACCUAAAUACUCAAAAACCUAAAACCUUCCCCUUAACCAAGAAGCUAAGACACUAUGGAUAAUUUUAUAUCUACAACACUUCAUGAAUUUCAUAUGCUUAAUAAAAGUUUACAAAAAGACUAGUAAAGAACACUUACUUUGGUUGAUGUAUGGUAUAAUAAGUCUGCAAAGCACUAAGAGUAAGUGCAGCAAUGGCACCCAAAAAUGCCAAAAACGUCCAAGGACUCCUAAAAUAAGUAUGAUAACCUUGAGCUGCAUGAUUAAUCCACAUAUUUUUACAAUGAUUAUGUAUUUUCUCUUUAACCCCACUGUAAAUCGUCGGACUAGGAACCAAAUCAGUGUUCAUCUUAUUGAAAAGCUUAGCCAUUUCUUCAUCACUUCCCAAUCCAUUGUAUAGGAUGCCGGAGUCUCUAAGGUCUUUGACAUCUUCAGCUUCAUCGAUCAAUAAAUCAAGGAAACACAUAUAUGAAGUGACGGUGAAAUCGUUGUCGAAAUCCGGACACAUUUCGUAAGCUAUUAAGUUCAUGGUUGCAUCAUCGACGGAGAUCGGCGGUAACCGUAAUUUUUCGAAGAAGAAGAUAUGGUUGAAACUGAUGUCGGUUAAAUUACUUGUUUCGCUGGCUUCUAACCAUAUCCCGGCCUUUUUAAGCUCUUUUACGUUACCAAUGGUGCGUGAAUGGUACCGUUUUGUUGUUUUUGUUCUUGCUGCUGAUUUGCCAAAUCCGUGUCGAGUGAAUUCCCAAAGAAAACACCAGCACCGUAUUCGUACUUUUCUGAGAAGGAGUCUUUCUCGUAGUAGAUGCAAUUGUUAAAUAUUGGCAAUAUCCCACAUUAGGAAAAGAUAGAAAGGGAGGGGGUUUGGUUUGUUAUAUAUAGAACCCCUCCCCCUUUGGUUGUAUCAUCCCAAAAUCUUCUCCUUUGUAAUAUUUCUAGAAGAAAUAUUAAUUUGGUAGUGUCCGAGGACGUAAGCUAAAUUGGCCGAACCUCGUUAAAUCUCUGGUAUUUUAUUUCUUAUUUGUUUGCUUAUAUUUAAUAGCUUUAUGUUGGUUAUAUUUAUUUAGUUAUUAUUGCUAUAAAUAUCUAAGUGAGUUCUGUCUAGUUGUUGGGUUUUAAGCGGGACCAUUUGUGACCCCUCCAAUUUAACUGGGAAUUUUCUUAGUAUAAUUGUUGGCAUAAUAAUUAUCUAAAUAUUUCUGAUAAUAUUGUUAUUAAUAUUAUCGUCGCUUCCGCAACAAUUGGUAUCAGAGCCAAGGUUUUGUAGUAUGCUCUGUGUUUGCAGCUUAGUCUGAUCUUACACAUCAGAAACAUUUCCUAAAGCUUGUGGGUAUUCUGCAUUUGGUGGCUAUUAAGUAGAAGCUAUGGCAAAAAUGACAGAAGAAAAACCAUCCAUAUCAACAACUUCCACUUCGUACAUUAUGCCGAGGAUUGGAACUGCAAAUACGAGAUUUGUAGUGGAAAUUUUUGAUGGAACAGGUCAUUUUGGCAUGUGGCAAAGUGAGCUUCUAGAUGCCCUCUUUCAACAGGGUCUAGAUAUUGCCAUUGAGGAAGAAAAACCAGAAGGGGUUGAUGAUAAAGAAUGGAAGACCAUCAACCGAUUGGCAUGUGGUACAAUUCGAUCAUGUCUUUCCAGAGAGCAGAAGUAUACAUUCAGUAAAGAGACUUCUGCAAGUAAAUUGUGGAAAGCAUUGGAGGAGAAAUUCUUGAAGAAGAACAGUCAAAAUAAGUUGCAUAUGAAGAAAAGACUGUUUCGUUUCAAUUAUGUUCCUGGUACCACGAUGAACGAGCACAUUACCAAUUUUAAUCAGCUGGUGGCUGAUUUGUUGAAUUUGGAUGUGACUUUUGAAGACGAAGACUUGGCGUUAAUGUUGUUGGGAUCGCUUCCUGAGGAGUUUGAGUACCUUGAAACUACUCUACUUCAUGGAAAAUCGGAAGUAACUUUCAAUGAAGUAACUGCUGCAUUGUAUAGCUAUGAAUUACGCCGAAAGGAUAAGUUGAAAGGUUCAGGUGAAGCAGCAGUGGAAGCAUUGGUAACAAGAGGUCGUCAGCAAAGUCAGUCUAAUGGGAAGAGAAGAAAGUCCAAAGGUCGAGCUGUUGCCAAAGAUGAAUGUUCCUUUUGCAAAGAAAAAGGACAUUGGAAGAAAGAUUGUCCAAAAUUGAAGAAAAAAGGGAAGACUCCGCAAGAUGCAAAUGUUGCAGAAUGCAAUAGUGAAGCAGAGUCAGACUUUUCUCUUAGUAUGACAUCUUCAACAUUAUAUGCAGAUGAGUGGAUCAUGGAUUCUGGUUGUUCCUAUCAUAUGUGUCCCAUUCGGGAAUGGUUCUUUGAAUUUCAAAAACUAGAUGAAGGGGUUGUUUACAUGGGUAAUGAUAACACAUGUAAAAUAGCCGGGAUAGGUUCAAUUAAACUGAGGAGUCAUGAUGGAUCUACUAGAAUUUUGCGGGAUGUACGAUAUGUCCCAAAGUUGAAGAAGAAUCUCAUCUCUUUGGGGUCGUUAGAAUCUAAAGGCCUAGUUGUGACAAUACGAGAUGGAGUUCUUAAAGCAACUUCAGGAGAAUUGGUGAUGUUGAAAGGCAUAAGAAAGAACAAUCUGUAUUACUACCAAGGUAGUACAGUGGUCGGGACAACAGCAGCAGCAAUUUCGAGUACCAAGAAGGACGCUGAGGCAACACAGCUGUGGCAUAUGCGUUUGGGCCAUGCUGGUGAAAAAUCCUUGCAAACUCUAGCCAAGCAAGGAUUAUUGAAAGGUACAAAGACUUGCAAACUUGAAUUUUGCGAGCAUUGUGUUCUGGGAAAACAACGAAGGGUGAAAUUUGGCACUGGGAUUCACAAUACUAAAGGUAUUCUGGAUUAUGUGCAUUCUGAUGUAUGGGGACCGUCCAAGUCUCCAUCACUUGGAGGAAGACGUUAUUUUGUCACCUUUAUUGAUGAUUUUUCCAGACGAGUUUGGGUGUUUCCUAUGAAGAACAAAGAUGAGGUGCUUGAAGUUUUCCUUAAGUGGAAAACUAAAGUUGAAAAUCAGACAGGAAGGAAGAUUAAGGUUCUCCGAUCAGACAACGGUGGAGAAUAUAAAAGCGAUCCAUUCAUGAAGAUAUGCCAAGAUUGUGGCAUAGUAAGGCACUUCACCGUAGGUGGAACACCGCAACAGAAUGGGGUGGCAGAGCGUAUGAAUCGAACGCUUGUGGAGAAAGUUCGAUGUAUGUUAUCUAAUGCUGGAUUAGAUAGAAAGUUUUGGACUGAGGCUGUGACGUACGCUCAACAUCUCAUCAAUCAUUUGCCAUCAUCUGCUAUAAAUGGCAAGACUCCUUUAGAGAAAUGGUAUGGAAAACCUGCUACUGAUUAUGACACCUUGCGCAUUUUUGGUUCUAUUGCAUAUUAUCAUGUGAAAGAAUCAAAGUUAGAUCCAAGAGCAAAGAAGGCUCUAUUCAUGGGCUUCAAUGCUGGUGUUAAGGGAUAUCGUUUGUGGUGUCUAGAGGCAAAGAAGACGAUAAUCAGUAGGGAUGUUACCUUUCAUGAAUCUGCCAUGUUGAAUAAGGUAAAUCCAGAAGGAGUGAGUAGUACUUCGCAGCAGGUGGAGUGUACUCCGCAGCAGGUGGAGUUUGAGCAGAGUGUGGUAAUUCCAGCAGAAGGUACCACUAGUGAUUCUUCAUUGGCAGAUGCAGAGUCAGAUGAGGAAGAGGUUUCUACCCAAGAACCUCAACAGCAAUCAGAGCCAAUUGCAGUCAGAAGGCAGAGACGAGAAAUUCAGAAACCAGCUCGUUUCACUGACAUGGUAGCUUAUGCACUUCCAGUUGUUGAUAAUAUUCCAUCCACUUACACCGAAGCCAUUCAGAGUUUAGAGAAUAAUAGAUGGUUAGGUGCAAUGGAAGAGGAAAUGCAAUCUCUAGAGAAAAACAAGACGUGGAAGCUGGCACAACUACCAAAAGGGAAGAAGGCGAUUGGUUGCAAAUUUGAAGACACUAUUGAAGUUAGUGUUAUGAGAAGAUGUUCGAAGAUGUGGAAUAUCGCCAAGGUGGAGAUUUGUUAAAUAUUGGCAAUAUCCCACAUUAGGAAAAGAUAGAAAGGGAGGGGGUUUGGUUUGUUAUAUAUAGAACCCCUCCCCCUUUGGUUGUAUCAUCCCAAAAUCUUCUCCUUUGUAAUAUUUCUAGAAGAAAUAUUAAUUUGGUAGUGUCCGAGGACGUAAGCUAAAUUGGCCGAACCUCGUUAAAUCUCUGGUAUUUUAUUUCUUAUUUGUUUGCUUAUAUUUAAUAGCUUUAUGUUGGUUAUAUUUAUUUAGUUAUUAUUGCUAUAAAUAUCUAAGUGAGUUCUGUCUAGUUGUUGGGUUUUAAGCGGGACCAUUUGUGACCCCUCCAAUUUAACUGGGAAUUUUCUUAGUAUAAUUGUUGGCAUAAUAAUUAUCUAAAUAUUUCUGAUAAUAUUGUUAUUAAUAUUAUCGUCGCUUCCGCAACAGCAAUAAGUGAAUUCGCUCUCCUUCUUUUUGCUGCUUCCACCACCAUUCCCUACACCAAAAUCUGUGUUAAUCGGAAGCCAAGCUACAAUUUCUCUUUUCUCUUUUCUCUUUUCUUUUUUUCUUUUUUGUUGUUGGAUUUGGAAUUGUUAAUUUAUAUGAAGCUAAAAUUAAGAUUUUCAAAAUAAAUAAUCCAACGAUUAAGUUAUUCAAUUUACUUAAUUUAAUUGAAUAAAUUAUUAAAAAUUUCGAUUCGAUAGCACGGUUUAAUUAAUUUUUUUACCCUGUUUAUAUAAAGUUUUAAAUCGGUUAAUCUACUCCGAAUUGAUAAUUCAAUUAAUUUUCAAUCCAAACCAAUUCAAACAAUAUUAACUAAAAUACAAUUUUUAUUGUUGUAUUAAUGCAAAAAUCUUACCAGUUUUAAAACAUUAAACUUUUCCAUUCUGAAAAGUUGGAUUUGAAAUCAUAAUUUUUAAUUUCUAAAAAUGAACACUCAAGGAUAAAUGUAAAACGACAGGCAGGGGUCGUUCCCAAGAAAUGAAAAUUUACACUUUAAUCUCUUUUAAAUUUAUUAAAUUAUAAUAAGUCCUCAAAUUAAAAUAUAAUAAUUGUUCAAUUUUUUUAAAAAAAUAAAAUCAUAAAUUAAUACAAAAAAAUUAAAAAUCAAACAGGUUGAAUAAAAAAUUAAAUAAAAUUGAAGUUACACCAAUUGAAUUAAAGAAUGGAAUAAAUUUCUUUUUAUAUUUUUAAUAUUUUUAAAAAAUUAUAUAAUUAAAUUGAAUAAACUAAUCAACCAGAAAUGAGAGUUUAAUAGAUUCCAUCACUCAUCUAGUUAUAAAAACCUUUUAACAUUUAUUUAAUUCCCUAAAUUACCUGUCCUCGCCUGGGAUGAUAACAGUUUCGUCGAUGAACCUUUGGAUUGCAUUCAUGAACUUUUCGCCAUUUUUUCUCGGCCUUGUAAGCAAUUCAAGAACACGAAAAGGUAAUUGGUUUUCCAACAAGAACAGAUCUGAGUACACAAAUGUCAGCAAAUCGUCUUUAAUAAACAAUUUACCAUCAUUAUCAUCACCAUUAUCAUCAUCACCGUAACGCCUGUAAACUGCUUGUAAAAUUGCGCAGCCGUCAACGAAGAACAUCCAAGCCAGUUUCUCGUUAUCGUUGCUAUACUUCUCUAAUCCCUUUGGAUCAUAGCAUUUCUUUAAGUCAUCAAUCUCUUUCUUCAUGUUGUUGUACAACGUAUCCUUAUCGACGCCAAUUUUUUUGACGAAAAGUGCUGCUAAUUUGAGCUUGAGCUUCUCGGAUUUCCGGAGGGUGGGAUCAUCGUGGUGGAGUGGGCCGAUUGAGAUCACUUUCGGCUUGAAAUACUUCCUGAAAUCUUGGUGACGACCAAGGGUUGAUGGGACUCUUUGUAUCAAUGGUUUGGCACCGAGGUUGAUUUCGUCGCCGUCGAAAGCUUCGUCUAAUGACCGGAGAUUCGCUACUUCUCCAUCUCUAAGAGGGACGUCCAUAUCAAUGCUCACGGAAUCGUUGUUGUCGGUGAUUGCUUGAUCAGUGGAAACUGCUCCGACGGCGCCGCCUCCUUCCUCCGUGGAGAACAUUUUCAGGCUGAGCGGUUGGAAGUAAUAAAGAAGGUGAUUUUGUAAACUGCUUUUGGGUGAGUGAGUGAUGUUGGAGAAAAGGUGGCAAAGUGGAUACGAUGAUGGGAAAUAUUUUAUAGCUUACACGAUACACAUAUAUAUAUGGGAAAUACUUACACCGUGUUUGGUUUAGUGUAAUAGCUAAUCCAUUACGCCCCGAUUACGUGCCUAUUACAUUACUGAUCUAUUCCGGCGUUUGGUUCGCUGUAAUAGGUAUUACGCGCCUAUUACAAUACCGACCUAAGCCCCAAAUUCUCUGCUUUUCUAUUCCCUUCCCAAAUCCCAGAUUACCUAUUACGUCCGGCUUCCCUUCCCAAGUCUCUGUUUUACCCUCCCUCCCUACCCGAAAUCGACCUCCACCCUCUCCUUUUUCUGUCCUCAUCAUUUCUCCUCCCAUUUCACACUGCUUCAUUUUUUUCUCUCGGAGCACGUUUGGUUUUUGAAUAUUGAGGUAUGAAUCAACGUUUGGUUAAAAUGUUUAUGAUUUACUUGUUUAAAGUUUUCUAGAUCUUUUUCUAUAUCUAUAGUUUCUGCUAGUUCUAUUUCUUUGUUUUUCUUUUUGGUGCUAAAUACUCGCUCGAAUUAUUUUUUGAUUUGGAAUUAGGGUGUUUUCCGAUUAUAAUCUUACUAUUCUGAAAUCUUACUAAUGCUAUAUCGGUUACCCACAAUUUGUUCGUAACGAAAAACAUGGUUGGUAUUUUUUCCAGAUUUUCUGUUGGCAGGUCUGCCCAUCGACGCUCCAAGAGUGCCUUUGUAAGUUUCUAUAGCUUACAUAAAGAGGCGAAUAUAAGGGAAUGUAAAAUUGUUAUUUAGGCCCUUAACUUUAUUAAAAUUUCAAAUUAGUAAAGGUAAAAUUAUACUUUGGCCUCAUAAAAUUAUAAAAAUUCAAUUUAAUCUUUUAAAAAUUAUAAAGAUAUAGACUACAAAAAAUUAAAAUUUCAUUCUAUCCACCCUAAAAAAUUAUUCGGGCUUUGCUGCUACUUACAUAAUAAACAUAUGGAAAAUACUUUUGGUGUAAUUCAAAUUUACCCCUUAUAGUCAAUUUAAUUUUCAUUUUUUUUAAUUUAAUUUUCUAUCUUUUGGAAGAGUCGAACUUAACUAUCAAUUUAAAUUUAUGUUUUUUUAACGAAAAUAGUGACUAAAAUAUUAAAAUGUUAAACAUGACAACUCAAACGGCAAUCCACAUCUAUAUUUUUAUAUUCAUUUCUUAUUUUUUAAAUUAUUUAUUGACGUGACAUAUAAUAAAAGUAUUGUUAUGUUAGCAUGAAGUACACAUGAAUUGCCACACUAGUUGUGACACCAAUAUCGUUAAAAAAUUAAUAUUUCAGUUAGCAUAUUUGUUAAAGAAAAGUAAAUUGGUUCUUUUUUGAAAGGUUAAUGGUUAAAUUUAGCUCAAAUGAAAAAAAAUAAAGGCCAAUUUGAUAAAAAAAGGUAAAUGUCAAAAGUUAAGUUUAUCAUUUAUACAAGUAUAAAUAUAUGUCUGGAUUAAUCUAGAAAGAACCAGACAAACUCUACACGUGAUAUUCAAAUGUGACGAGAGGGAAAUCUACACAUCACAAUUGAGAAUAAUAUUAUAGAAAUACUCAAAAACCUAAAACCUUCCCCUUAACCAAGAAGCUAAGACGCUAUGGAUAAUUUUAUAUCUACAACACUUCAUGAAUUUCAUAUGCUUAAUAAGAGUUCUUUAAAUAUAUUCGAUUUUUAUUUUAUUAUUUAUAUUAUUUUGACUCAGUAUUUAAAUUAUCAUUAUGUUACAUGAUUUAUUUCAAAUAUUUUAUAUAUUUUUAUAACGAAAUUUGAAUUAAAAAAAUAUCAAUUUUAUUAUUAAAUUAUAAUUUGAUAUAUUUUGAGAUAAUGCAAUUUUAAGUAUUUCAAUUUAUUUAAUCAUUAUUUUUAAACUCGUUUUUUGUUUUGUUAGUAUUGCAUAAUUUUAACGUGUAUAUAUAUAUAUAUAUUUAAAGUUCUACUUAUUUUUAAGUUAUGUCAAAUAAUUGACAACUUUAUUAAAGUAUGCAUUUGAAUUUAUAAAUUUUUUUAGGUUGAAAUUAAAUUGUAUACUUUUACGAUAGUAAAAAUAUAAUUUUAUCAUUUUAAUUGCCUAUAUCGUUAUAAAUUUUAAAAUAUUAAAUCAAAUUUAUAUCAUUUUUGGAGGGUAAAGUAUAAUUUUAUCAUUACUAAUUUAAAAUUUUAUAAAUUAUAAAGGGGUCUAAAUAAUUUUUUUUUCAUUUUAAAGGAGACCAAGACUCUACAACCCUUGAAUUCGCCUCUAUCCAUAUAUUAUAUUUUAUUAAUCGAUUAUACAUGUAAACAUAUUUGUUUUUACUAAUACAUUUUAUUAAUCAAAUGGCUUUUUUUUUUUUACUGUUAAGUUAUCUUUUUUUAACUCCAUACAACAAAAUUUAUUUGCUCACAGUUUAACAUAUUUUUUUAUUAUUUCAGCAAUAAUAUUUUAUACUUAUCUAUAUAUCAAAUAUCAUGAUUCUCUAACAUUAUUAAGAUUAAAUAAAUAAAAUAUGUAUAUAUAUAAAUAAUGUUUUUUUACAAAAUUUUAAUUGUUUAAUCUCAAUAAUUUUCUUUUGCAACAUUAAAUCAUAUAAUACAUUUAGAAUAUUAAAAAUGUAUCAGAUUUUUAUUAAUAUAUACAUACAAUAAAUUUGUGUAUAGCAUGAGUAAACAAAUUAAUUAUUAAACUAUAAUUUGGCUCAAACUAAGUUAACCUUAACUUAAAAUUAGGUUAAAGUACUUGGGAUUUGGGACUUGGGAGGUUGGACUGGAUUAAAUUAGUCCUUCUGUUAUUAAAUGGAUCGAUUUAGUCCUUAUAUUAUUAAAAAGAAUCAAAUAAGUUCAAACUGAAAUAGAGUUAACAUUUACUGUAUAAAAAAUGUCUCGGCAAUUGCAAUUCAAUUCCAAACAGAAUGGUUCAUGUAUAUAACCAUAAGAACUUUUUAAAUAUUCACUUGUUAGACAAUAAUAGUAUAGGACUAAAUUGAUCCAUAUAUAUAUUAUUAAUAGAAAUGAGAAUUGUGCUUGGCCAAGUUUCUAAGUUUGGUAUUUGUUCUUACUUUCCUUCUUCAACCGUAGGAGCCACUCUCAUGACUUUUAUUUACUUUGCCAAGUUACUAAGUCAUGACUUUAGUAAAAGAUUUAGUUCCAUUUGUCGCUCCAACAUAACUUUUUUUUAACGAAGAUUCCAGUUAUAUCGAUAGGUAUACAUUGUUUCAAUAAUAAUUCGAAACAAUCAAUUUUAUUUUUUGCACAACGGUGGCGGGAGGUGGCAAGCAGGGGUAAAUGUAUAAGAUUAUAAAUUUCAAAGGUAAGAUUGUAAUUUGGCCCCAAAAAAUCAUAAGGCUUUAAUUUAGUUCUUUAAAAAAUUAUAAUGGUAUUAGCUAAUACAAUGAUGAAACUGUGUUUUAACCCUUAUCGAAAUUUAUAAUUUAAUUUCGGUCCCUCAAAUAAAAUUUUUGACUUCGUCCUUAUUUCCGCACUAGUAAAAAUUCUAAUCUAUAUCAUCUGCAACGGCCAAUACUAUAACAGUCUGAUUUUCAAUGGUAUCGGAAAAGAUGGUUUUGAAACCCCAUUUUCAUUGUCUGAGUCCAUAAAUAUUAAUAUUUAAUAUUUACAAGGCUAGUAUAAAAGUUUAUUGCAGUUUGGUCCAGCAAUUUUGUCUAAUUGAUAGUUAAAUAAGGUACAUGAACUAAAUUAUAAAAGUCCAAUCAAUAUAGGUUUUUAAUUAGCAAAGGACCAAAAGGGCUAUUAAACCAUCUUUUAUUAUAUGAUAGUGGAUAUAAACAAAUAUUAAAUUUAGUUAAUUAAACUUGAUUAUGAUUAAUUAAUCCAGUUUAAUUAAAUUCUAAUUAGACAAUAUAUACAAAUUAAGUGGAAAAAAUGAAAACAUUUUUCAUCUUCAUCAUCUUUGCUGAAUUUGAGAGACAGAAAAACCUAGAAAGCUUUCAUACAUUCGGUCCUCAAUUUCUAAGGCGAUUUAAGUUUUUUUCUUGUAACUUUUAUAUAUUUGAGGUUAUGGACGCUUCAUUUAUUUAGCUCAUGUAAUAAUUUGUAAAAUUGUUAAAGUUUUUGAAAGUUGCCGUUUUUAGUUUCUUGAAUAAAUAAAUAUUAAAUUAAUAGAUUUUAAGGUUAGAUGUGAAAAAGAAUUAAAUUAUAAAAUUUAAAUUGAUAAUUUUAAGCAAAAGGAUAAAAUUGUAUAAAUUGAAAAUUUGACGCUAGUUUUUUUAUAGUUUUAGAUAAUAGAGAGUUCUAAAAGAAUGUGAUUGAAAUUGAUUUCUGAUUUAGAGAUUAAAUUAAAUAAAAUAUGAAAUUUUAAAAAUAUCAUAAAAAUAAAAUUUAACUGACUCAUGCAUGCAUAUAACAAAAACUAAAAUUUUAAGGACACACCUUCAUGCAUUUCACUUCAUUAAUAACGAAAGAAGCAUGGCUACCUAGCUUUCUGCUUCAUCCAAAAUUGUUGAACUUUGGCCUAUAAUGCAAUAGUAGAGAAGCAAUGAAGCUCAACCAGUACAACAGCAACAUUUUGUUCAUAUGCAACUAGCUUUAGUUCUUUUGUAAUUUGUAUUUAAAGUUAGUAAGAUUAGUUGAUGAUUUGAAUAAUGUCUAAUGUGAUGUAAUAGUUGAUAUGCCAACUACAUUUUGUGUGUAAUUUAAGCUUUGUUUUAGUCAAGUUAUUAGUGGGAGCAGUUGUGUAUUAGGAAACUCUCAUGUAACUUAUAUGUUUAUCUUAAUGAAAAAUGCAUAUGAAAUUAGUUUUCAAGUUUCAUUUUUGUUCAAUUCUCUUUGUAUUCGUUUCUUGCUACUUUUCUCCUUUGUUUUCUAUCAAAACAUCAACAAAUGGUAUACAGAGCCUGUCAUUUUUGAGGGACUUUAUUGUUGGUAGUUGUUUUUGUGAGAAACCUUGAAGAAAAAGAAACUGAGGUUGUUGUUUUUAUUGUUGCUGCAAAAUGAGUUUUACACCACCACCACUACCACCUCUUUUUGCUGGUGAAAACUACCACAUUUGGGUAGUAAAGAUGAAGACUUACCUGCAAGCACAUGACUUGUGGAAUGUGGUUGAGAAUGACACAGAACCAGCUCCAUUGAGGGCCAAUCCCACUAUUGUAGAAAUUAGACAACAUUGUGUAAAGUGUGCUAAGAAGCACAAAUCUAUGUCAUGCUUAAAAAAUAGUGUCUGAUGUGAUCUUCACUCGAAUAAUGGCUUGUGACACUCCAAAGUAAGCCUCAGAGAAGCUGAAGGAAGAGUUUCUCGGGCCAGACAAGACUAGGCAGUAGCAGUUGAUCAACCUUAGGAAGGACUUUAAGAACUUGAAGAUGAGAGAGUCUAAAACAAUCAAGCAGUACUCUGAUAGGAUAAUGGCCACAGUCAACAACAUCAGGCUCCUUAGAGAUGAAUUCAGUGAGAGUAGAAUUGUUAAGAAAGUCAUUACAACCCUUCUUGAAAAAUUUAAAGCAAAAAUCUCCUCAUUAGAAGACUCGAGAGAUUUAUCAACCAUCUCACUAUCUGAGUUGAUAAAUGCUCUAUAUGCAUUAGAGCAAAGAAGGGCCAAUAGGAUGGAAGAGCAUCCUGAAGGAGCUUUCCAACUAGAAACCAAGGAAAGCUCAGGUUCAAGCUAUAAAGGAAAGAAACCAUGGCUUAACAAAAGGGAGAAACCAAAGAGGGAUGCAGGGAAGAAAAUGUUCCCACCAUGUAUUCACUGCAAAAGGUCCACACACUUGGAGAGGUAUUGCUGGUACAGACCUGAUAUUCAGUGUAAGAGCUGCAAGUAGUUUGGUCACAUUGAAAAGGUUUGCAAGAACAAAGGAACGACAUAAGCUCAACAGCAAAAUCAAGCUCAAGCUGCUGAGGAUAUUCAAGCUCAAGAGGAGCAUGUUUUCACUGCAUCCUAUUUUGCAACCUCAAGAAAAUUCAGAAGAGACUAGUUAGUAAACAGUGGCUGCACUCAUCAUAUGGCAUCUGAUGAAGGGUUAUUCAGAGAUCUUAACAAAAGAUUUGUUUCCAAAGUUAAGAUUGGAAAUAGAAACCUUAUUGAGGCCAGAGGCAAAAGCAAUGUUGUGAUCAACACACAUUCAGGUAACAAAAUAAUUUCAGAUGUUCUUUUUGUACUUGACAUAGACCAAAAUCUGCUUAGUGUUGGUCAAUUAAUAUAAAAGGGUUAUUCACUCAAUUUUAAGAACAACUCCUGUGUUAUUGGAGAUUCACUUGGUGAAGAAUUAGUUACAGUUGCUAUGACUGAGAGAUGCUUUAUGUUGGAUGUGAACCAGUUUGAAAUGAAGGCCUAUACUAGUCUUGCUGAUAAAGCUAGUUUAUGGCAUAAAAGGUUAGGCCAUGUCAAUUAUAAAUCACUCAGUUUGUUGCACAAACUCAAUUUGGUUGAAGACAUGUCCAAGGUUGAAGUCAAAGACAAAGUUUGUAAAAUUUGUCAGCUUGGGAAGCAAGUGAGAUUGCCUUUUCCAGUUAACAAGGCAUGGAGAGCUCGAGACAAGCUUCAAUUGGCCCAUACUGACAUUUGUGGACCAAUGAAGACCUUUUCUUUGAAUGAUAGCAGAUACUUUGUGCUAUUCAUAAAUGAUUAUACAAGGUUCUACUGGGUAAUUUUCUAAGACAAAAGUCAAAAGUACCUGAAGUAUUCAGCAAGUUCAAAGCCUUAGCUGAGAAUUAAUGAGGCUGUAAGCUUAAGGCCUUGAGAUUCAGUAAUUUGAUGAGGAAAAUGUAUGGAACUGGAAUGUUACAGAUGCAAACUUGAGUGAGGAAGGUCAACAAGAUAAUAAUCUGUAACCAGCUGAAGAAGAAGAGCCAAUUGCUGAUGAUUUUGAUGAUGUACCUGUGAAAGACACAAGAACCAUUACUGACAUCUAUCAAAGAUGUGAUGUUGCAAUACUGGACCUACAAAUUUGAUGAGGCUGCCAGAGAAUAGUGUUGGAAAAGGGCCAUGGAAGUUGAAAUGGAGAUGAUACACAAGAACAACAUUGGGAACUGGUUGACAGACCAGACCAAAAGAGAGUUAUUGGUCUGAAGUGGGUGUUUAUGGUUAAGUACAAUAUUGAUGGGUCUCUAAACAAACACAAGGCAAGACUUGUGGUGAAGGGAUACAGCCAACAGUAUGGCAUCGAUUUCAUAGAAACAUUUGCUCCAGUUGCAAGGUUAGUUACUAUAAGGCACUUGUUUUCCUUAGCUGCUCAAAAGAAAUGGAGAGUGAAUCAAUUGGAUGUUAAGUCUGCUUUUCUGAAUGGCUUCCUUAAGGAAGAAAUCUUCAUUGAACAACCAUAUGGGUUCAAGAUUCCUCAUGAAGAGAAUAAGGUCUACAAGCUGAAAAAGGCUUUGUAUGGUUUGAAGCAAGCACUAAGGGCCUGGUAUGACAGAGUUGGUGCAUAUCUGUCUAGGCUCAGUUUUGAGAAGAGUAUCAGUGAGCCUACUCUCUAUGUGAAGAAAUCAAAAAAUGAAACCCUGUUGAUUAUGUCACUUUAUGUAGAUGAUCUACUAGUAAUUGGAAGCGAGGGGAAGCUGAUUGAAGAGUUUAAAAUAUAGAUGCAAGAUGUCUUUGAAAUGAGUGACUUGGGGGAAAUGACUUACUUUCUUGGCAUGAAAGUGAAUCAGUUUGAUCAUGCCAUCUUCAUAAGUUAGCAAGCUUUUGCCAUAAAUAUUUUAAACAAAUUUUGCAUGUCAAAAUACAAAAUUUUUAGCACACCAGUGGCUCAAGGUGAAAAAGUAACCAACCUUGGCAACCAUGAAAGAGUUGAUGAGAAGGUGUAUAGAAGCCUUGUAGGUUGUCUACUCUACUUGACAGCUACAAGGCUUGAUAUCAUGUUUGUUGUUAGCCUUCUGUCCAGAUUCAUCCAUUGUCGCAAUGUUGUUCAUUUUAAGGCAGCCAAAAGAGUUCUUAGAUAUGUGAAAGGGACUUUGGAUUAUUGAGUGAAAUUUGGGAAGACAAACGAACUCAAGUUGAUAGGGUAUUCUGAUAGUGAUUGGGCAGGUCCAUUGAUGACAUGAAGAGCACAUCUGACUAUUUCUUCACUCUUGGCUAAGGUGUUUUUUGUUGGAGUUCAAAGAAACAACAAAUAGUUGCUUAAUCAAUAGCAGAAGCAGAGUGCAUUGCAGCUGCUGUAGCUGUUAAUCAAGCCAUUGGUUUAGGAAGCUCUUAUGUAAUUUGAAUGAAGAUCAAGUUGAAGCUACUAAUAUUAGAGUUGACAAUAAGUCAGCUGUUGCCAUAGCAAAAAAUUCAGUAUUUCAUGGCAAAACUAAGCAUUUUAAGAUUAAAUUUUAUUUUGUUAGAGAGGUUGAACAAUCAAAAGAAGUUAAUUCAAUUCAUUGCAGCUCAAAAAACCAGCUUGCCGAUAUUCUAACUAAGUCUCUCGGUGCUAUAAGAUUUGAGAACUUAAGAAGAAGUAUUGGUGUUUGUUGCAUAUAGUCCAAGGAGGAGUGUUGAACUUUGGCCUGCAAUGCAACAGCAGAGAAGCAUUGAAGCUCAACCAGCACAGCAGCAACAUUUUGUUCAUAUGCAACUAGCUUUAGUUCUUUUGUAAUUUGUAUUUAAAGUUAGUAAGAUUAGCAGAACUGGAUAUUGUCGUAUUUGAUUAUAAAAAGGUGUCGGCUGGAAUUUAAUUCUCAUUGAGUGUUUUUUUAUAAAAUAACUUGAAAAUUUUUAUUAAUUAUAAAAAUGAUAUUUUUUAUUAGGUAAUAAAUAAUAAAACUGAGUGAAAUUAAAGAGAUUAGUGCCACAUCAACCAAUCAUUAACUGUUAAAAUUAAAAAAAUUAUUUUUUGAAUGAAGCCAACCCAUAUCGCAUCAUUGCGGCAGAAAGCAAUAAAGUAUGCACUAAUCAAUUGUUUUUAAUUGCUAAUAUUUAGUGAUAAAAUAAUAUUUAAUUAUCGAAAUUUGAUAAUAGUAACGAAGUUGAAAAAGGUUUUACAAUUUAGUUUUGAAAUAUAUAUUUUUAUUGAAGUUAAACUGUAAUUUAAUUAUAUUGAUUUGUAAUUUUACAUUGUUUAAAGGGACUAGAUCAAUUUUUUAUUAUUUUGGAGGUCAAUAUGCAAUUUAACAUGUAAAAUUUCAACUUUCAAGGAGACUCAAAGCAUAAAUUAACAUUUUAGGGGACCAAGGUCUUGCCUACCCCUUGUCGCCACCCCUCAUUGGUAAUUUAACUACUUCGGCCUUUGAAUUUUUUUGUCUAAAUUUAUCCUGAAAUUUGAUAGUUUUUCCUAAUGUAGUCCUUGAACAUUGGUCUAUGCUACAUCUUAGAUUUUUUUUAAAAAAUUUUUUAAAUGAUGACAUGGUUUUUUAAUAGAAUUUAAGUUCAAGAAUUAAAUUUAAAAAAUUGUUAAGUUCAAAGGCUAAAUAUUACAUUAUCCUUAAUAUUUGUUACCCGGUUUUAGAAGUCCAUUGAAUUUCUUGCCUGUUUACUUUUGUUAUUAACCAUUGCUUUGUUCUUCUUUGUUUAAUUUUAGGUCCCAUAAUUGAAAAAAGAAUGGAUGAGAAAUUUCUAAAAUCAUUAGAAACAAGAAAAUAUGAUCUCAAAUCCAAUGAAGCAUUGAAGCUCAACUAGUACAGCAGCAACAUUUUGUUCAUAUGCAACUAGCUUUAGUUCUUUUGUAAUUUGUAUUUAAAGUUGGUAAGAUUAUUUGAUGAUGUGAAUGAUGUCCAAUGUGAUGUAAUAGCUGAUAUGUCAGCUACAUUUUUUGUGUAAUUUAAGCUUUGUUUUAGUCAAGUUAUUAGUGGGAGAAGUUGUGUAUUAAGAAACUGUCAUGUAACUUCUAUGUUUAUCUUAUUGAAAAAUGUAAAUGAAAUCAGUUUUCAGGUUUCAUUUUUGUUCAAUUCUCUUUGGAUCCGUUUCUUGCUUCUUUUCUCCUUUGUUUUCUGUCAAAACACCAACAAAAAUUCACAUGUAUACAAAUUAGGACAACGUAAGUGGUCACUGAACAGCCCUAUUUAAAGAAGAAUAUACCAAAAUAAGACAAACCUAAGACCUGAACACUGACCUCAUGUGCUGCAAAGCUAUAAGAUGUUCUGAAAUUACGAAAAUCUUGUUAACAUUAAUGGAAGACAAUUAAUAAUGGUUGCCAUUAACAUUAAUGGGAGACAAUCAAUAAUGACAACCACCAACUUUGGAAAAGUGGCAAGGGAUAAUUUUUUUUGGUCCUUGAGAUAAUGGGCUAUUUAUUGUUUGGUCCUUGAACCUCAACUAUAAAUAGGUCUUCUCAUUUCUCAUUUCAAUUCAUCCCAACCAAUCUUUCUCUCUUAGUUUUCUCUCUUCUCCCAUUUGAGAAUUCUUAAGGAAUUCUAUUUGUUUGUAAUACUUUGAAGAUAGUAAAGUUAUCAUCUGGUGUUAGUGCCCGAGGACGUAGGUAUAAUUUACCGAACCUCGUUAAAACUCUUGUGUUCUUUAUUGUCCUAUUUUUCUUUCAAUAUUUGAGGGUAUAAUAGUAGUAUUUAAUUGUGCUAUUAAAUUACUAUAGAAGGGAUAUUCUGUCUAAGGAAAGACUUGGUAUUUAAGAGAUCCAUGUGAUCCACCUCUCUUCCCUGGGAAUUGAACUUUGUGUGAUUUUUAGUACAAUAAUUUAUACGCUUCCAACCCUAUUGGAACUACAAGUGGUAUCAAGAGCCGAAGGUUAAUCGUAGUAUGCUCUGUGGUUGCAGUUUAAACUGAUCUUCCACAUCAGAAAAGAUUUCCUUAGGUAUAUUGAAAGAUUAUGGAGAAAACGGUCGGUGUAGGAGCUUCAACAUCGUCCAUGUGGACAAGACCGACAAUUGCAAAUGCAAGAUUGGCCGUAGAGAUCUUUGAUGGCACGGGCCAUUUUGGUAUGUGGCAAAGUGAGGUUCUAGAUGCCCUUUUUCAGCAGGGUCUAGACAUUGCCAUUGAUGAAGAGAAACCAGAUGAUGUACAGGAGAAAGAUUGGAAAGCGAUCAAUCGGUUGGCAUGUGGCACAAUUCGAUCAUGCCUUUCUCGAGAGCAGAGGUAUGCUUUUUCAAAAGAGACUUCUGUAAAUAAGUUGUGGGUGGCACUUGAAGAUAAUUUUUUGAAGAAAAACAGUCAAAAUAAGCUCCACUUGAAGAAAAGACUGUUUCGCUUCACAUACGUCCCAAGUACCACAAUGAAUGAUCACAUCACCAAAUUUAAUCAGUUAGUCACUGAUUUGCUGAAAAUGGAUGAGACAUUCAAAGAUGAAGAUUUGGCUUUGAUGCUGUUGGGGUCACUUCCUGAGGAGUUUGAGUUCCUAGAAACUACUCUACUUCAUGGCAGGAGUGAUAUAUCUCUGAGCGAAGUCUGUGCGGCCUUAUACAGUUACGAACAGAGAAAGAAGGACAAACAGAAAAACUCAAUCAGAGAUACAGAAGCUUUAGUAGUCCGAGGUCGUUCAUACACUCGGAAGAAAACUCAAAAUGGGAGAUCAAAGUUAAAGUCCAGACUCGGGAAAGAUGAAUGUGCUUUUUGUCAUGAGAAAGGCCACUGGAAGAAAAAUUGUCCAAAGCUGAAGAAUAAGGGAGAAGCUGCUGUAGAUGCUUGUGUUGCUAAGCAUGAUACUAGUGACUCUGAACUAUCACUGGUUGCAUCAUCAUCGUCAUUCCAUUCAGAUGAGUGGAUAUUGGAUUCGGGUUGUACCUAUCAUAUGUCCCCUAACCGGGAGUGGUUCUCUGAUUUAGUAGAACUAAAUGGAGGAGUUAUUUAUAUGAGCAAUGACAAUGCCUGUAAAACUGUUGGGAUAGGUUCAAUCCAAUUAAAGAAUCAAGAUGGAUCAACCAGAGUUCUGACUGAUGUUCGGUACGUUCCCAGUUUGAAGAAAAAUCUCAUCUCAUUGGGAGCCUUGGAAUCCAAUGGUUCAGUUGUUACUAUGAGAGAUGGGAUUUUGAAAGUGACAUCUGGCGCACUUGUGAUAUUGAAGGGCAUCAGGAAAAAUAACUUGUAUUACUACCAAGGUAGUACAGUUAUUGGAGCAGUCGCUACAGCUUCCGGUAACAAAGAAUUGGACUCAAUGCAGUUGUGGCAUAUGAAGUUGGGACAUGCCAGCAAAAAAUCCUUGCAAAUUCUGGCAAAGCAAGGAUUGUUGAAAGGUGCAAAGGCUUGCAAAUUAAAAUUUUGCGAGCAUUGUGUUCUGGGAAAGCAAAAGAGAGUGAAAUUCGGUACUGCUAUCCAUAAUACAAAAGGUAUUUUGGAAUAUGUUCACUCAGAUGUGUGGGGGCCUUCCAAGACACCUUCAUUGGGAGGAAAACACUACUUUGUUACUUUUGUUGAUGACUUUUCCAGAAGAGUUUGGGUGUAUACCAUGAGAACUAAGGAUGAAGUGCUUAGAGUUUUUUCUUAAAUGGAAAACUAUGAUCGAAAACCAGACUGGCAAGAAAAUCAAGCGGCUUAGGACGGACAAUGGAGGGGAAUAUAAAAGUGAUUCGUUCUUCGAUGUGUGCCAAGAGUAUAGUAUUGUUCGACACUUCACAGUUAGGGAUACACCACAACAGAAUGGAUUGGCAGAGCGUAUGAAUCGAACAUUGCUAGAGAAAGUUCGAUGUAUGUUGUCCAAUGCUGGGUUGGGCAAGCAAUUUUGGGCUGAGGCUGUGACAUACGCUGGCCAUCUUGUUAAUCGUUUGCCAUCAUCUGCAUUAGAAAGAAAAACUCCUAUAGAGGUAUGGUCUGGAAAACCGGCUACAGAUUAUGAUUCCUUACAUGUGUUUGGAACCACUGCAUAUUACCAUGUGAAGGAGUCAAAGUUAGAUCCGAGGGUAAAGAAAGCUCUCUUUAUGGGAAUCACUUCUAGAGUGAAGGGAUUUCGUCUUUGGUGCUUAAGCACAAAGAAAAUGAUCUGUAGCAGAGAUUUUACCUUUGAUGAAUCUGCCACAUUGAAAAAGGUAGCAGAUAAAGAUAUUCAGACGAGCAAUACUCCACAGCAGGUGGAGUGUACUCCAAAACAGGUGGAGUUUGAGCAGAUGAGGAUUUGCCCAGUUAAUAAGUCUAAUUCUCCAGCCACAAUAGAGGAAUUAGAGGUUGAAGAGGUUCUGACCCAAGAACCACUAAGUACACCAGAACCAGUUGCAGUUGCAAGGCCACGGAGAGAAAUUCGUAAACCUGCUCGAUUUACUGAUAUGGUGGCCUACGCCCUUCCCGUUGUUGAUGAUAUUCCUAUCACUUAUCAAGAAGCAAUGCAAAGCUUAGAAAGUGAUAAAUGGAAAAGCGCCAUGGAUGAAGAAAUGCAGUCUCUCCGAAAGAACAAUACUUGGGAGUUGGCGCAAUUACCGAAAGGUAAAAGGGCAAUCGGAUGCAAGUGGGUAUUCGCAAAGAGAGAUGGAUCUCCUAGCAAGAAGGAUAUUCGCUACAAGGCAAGAUUGGUAGCUAAAGGCUACGCUCAGAAGGAGGGAAUUGACUACAAUGAUGUAUUUUCCCCUGUUGUGAAGCAUUCCUCCAUUAGAAUUUUGUUGGCCUUGGUAGCACAGUUGAAUUUGGAGCUAGCUCAACUUGAUGUUAAGACGGCUUUCUUGCAUGGUGAGUUAGAAGAGGAGAUCUAUAUGACUCAGCCCGAAGGAUACACAGAUGCUGGUGGUAGAAAUUGGGUUUGUAAGCUUAACAAAUCGCUAUAUGGAUUGAAGCAAUCCCCGAGGCAGUGGUACAAGCGAUUUAAUAGCUUUAUGAGAAGGCAAAAGUACACAAGAAGCAAAUAUGACAAUUGUGUGUAUUUGCAGAAGCUGCAUGACGGAUCUUUCAUUUAUCUACUCUUGUAUGUUGAUGAUAUGUUAAUCGCUUCGAAGAGCCAAAAAGAGAUAGAUAAGCUGAAGGCUCAGUUGAAUCAAGAGUUCGAGAUGAAAGAUCUAGGUGAGGCCAAGAAGAUUCUCGGCAUGGAGAUAAGUAGAGAUAGACAGAGAGGCAAGCUUUGUUUGAAUCAGAAGCAAUAUCUGAAAAAGGUAUUACAAUGUUUUGGUGUAAAUGAAAACACAAAACAUGUAAGUACCCCACUUGUUUCUCAUUUGAAACUUAGUGCUCAAUUAUCUCCGAAAACUGAAGAAGAAAGAGAAUAUAUGGCAAAAGUCCCAUAUGCUAAUGCAGUUGGGAGUUUGAUGUAUGCGAUGGUGUGUACGCGGCCUGACAUUUCACAAGUUGUUGGAGUUGUGAGCAGGUAUAUGCAUGAUCCUGGAAAAGGACAUUGGCAAGCUGUGAAAUGGAUUCUACGGUAUCUUCGAAAAACCGUAGAUGUUGGUUUAAUUUUUGAACAGGAUGAAGCACUUGGUCAGUUUGUAGUUGGAUAUGUUGAUUUCGACUUUGCUGGUGAUUUAGAUAAACGUCGUUCAACUACGGGGUAUCUGUUUACUCUUGCGAAAGCCCUAGUGAGUUGGAAGUCUACCUUACAGUCUACAGUAGCUGUGUCUACUACAGAGGCAGAAUAUAUGGCAGUUACAGAAGCUGUUAAGGAGGCUAUUUGGCUUAAUGGAUUGUUGAAAGACUUAGGAGUUGUUCAAAGUCACAUAAGUUUAUAUUGUGACAGUCAGAGCGCUAUUCAUUUAGCGAAAAAUCAAGUCUAUCAUUCAAGAACCAAGCAUAUCGACGUAAGAUAUCACUUUGUGCGGAAAGUCUUUGAAAAAGGAAAAAUUCUACUUCAGAAGAUUCCGACAGCAGAUAAUCCCGCAGAUAUGAUGACCAAGGUGGUAACAACAAUCAAGUUUAAUCAUUGUUUGAACUUGAUUAACAUCCUGAGAAUUUGAGCACCUUCAGGUGUAUGGCGCUCGAGAGCGCAUUUGUAGGCACUACAAAAGAUAGCUUUAUCGAAUUUGGGGAGUUGAAGGAAGUGUGUGAAGAUGUGAUUAUCCUAAUCAAAUCUUCAAGGUGGAGAUUGUUAACAUUAAUGGAAGACAAUUAAUAAUGGUUGCCAUUAACAUUAAUGGGAGACAAUCAAUAAUGACAACCACCAACUUUGGAAAAGUGGCAAGGGAUAAUUUUUUUUGGUCCUUGAGAUAAUGGGCUAUUUAUUGUUUGGUCCUUGAACCUCAACUAUAAAUAGGCCUUCUCAUUUCUCAUUUCAAUUCAUCCCAACCAAUCUUUCUCUCUUAGUUUUCUCUCUUCUCCCAUUUGAGAAUUCUUAAGGAAUUCUAUUUGUUUGUAAUACUUUGAAGAUAGUAAAGUUAUCAUCUGGUGUUAGUGCCCGAGGACGUAGGUAUAAUUUACCGAACCUCGUUAAAACUCUUGUGUUCUUUCUUGUCCUAUUUUUCUUUCAAUAUUUGAGGGUAUAAUAGUAGUAUUUAAUUGUGCUAUUAAAUUACUAUAGAAGGGAUAUUCUGUCUAAGGAAAGACUUGGUAUUUAAGAGAUCCAUGUGAUCCACCUCUCUUCCCUGGGAAUUGAACUUUGUGUGAUUUUUAGUACAAUAAUUUACAUGCUUCCGACCCUAUUGGAACUACAAAUCUUUGUUCUUUCAUUGGGUUUCUUAUCUUCCUUUUACACAAUUAAAAACCCAUAUAUAAUUUUAAAAAUACUUUCAGGCUUCUUUGUCUUGCUAAUUUCUGUAGAAAAUUACUGGUCUAUCACUGCCCCAAAGGUUCCAGCAUUUGAAGCACAAGAUAUUGGCACAUCAUAUAAGUUCUAAAUUUGUCACCAACAACUGACAAAACUGAGUAGAAUUACAUUAAUUAUGCUUAACAUUACACUUCAGGCAUACAUGCAAUUAAAAGUAAAAUCGAAAUAACACUAAACAUACUCGGAGUCGGAGGUGAAGAGGCGGUUGAAAGAGCGCGGAUUAAAGAGAAGAGGACUGGCGAGGUGGCGGGUAUUGAGGGCAAUGGAUGAGUGUUUUGAGGUGGGUUUUGAAAGAGCGUCUGAGGGAAAGCGAUAGAAACAUGGUGGAAGAAAGGAAGAGUUAAUGGAAGGAAAAUUUUAGGGUUUUGUUCUUUGUAUGAGAUCAUUUCAUAGAAUUGAUUAAGAAAGGAAGCAUCUAAGGAAGGAAAGGAGCUUAUUAGUGUUGUUUUCCGGUUUGGAUGUUUGGUUUAUUUUAUUAUUCAAAAUUAAUUUUUUUAAAACAAUGAAACAAGUUAUUUGAACCAGAUGGGUUUGAGACUAGGUUUGAUUUUUCUUUCUAGAGUCAGAACAUAGGCUUGAUGUAUGAAUACUUUUAAUUACAAUUGUAUUUGAGCUGUGAUGAUAUUCAACUAAAGCCCUCUCAAUAAUAAUAACUCUAAAUUUAAACUUAAAAAUAACUUUGAGCUAAUCUUGAUCGAUUACUCCAAUCACACAACACGAAUAACUAAAGCUUCCUCAACCUCAACAAAUGUUAUAGUGUCAAGAUUGAACAAACUGUCUCCUAGUACCCUAUUGAUUAGGCAACUUUGAUGUUGAACAUCCCACAAAAACAUGAAAAAAAGAAAAGAAAAAGAAUCACAAUUAUAUUUAACUCAUGCAACAAGUUUCACCUUUUUUUUUGUGAGAAAAAGAUCAAGCCACUAUUAGGGAGUCUUGGGCUUCUAGUUGAAGCCUGUGAAUCAUUAGAAUAAGAAAAUUCAUGUAAUGCUUAUUGCCAAAUCACAAUCUCGUCAGAAUUGAGGUUUUUCAAAAACAAAACAAUUAACAAAUAUUUAUGGCCUGAAACCUUAACCUACCCUAAUAGAAAGGUAAAAGAACAAUGUGCUCAAUGGAUUUCACUUCUUCCCCACACCUCGGUCAAUGAGGAUCCACCUCCUUAAACAUUUUGGCAAUGUUUUGUUUAGUAGUAACACAUUGUGGCAAGACCUCCUAAGGAGAUUUUUGAUAUUUAUUAUCACAUUAAGCUCUCAUGAAUGAUUUAAACCUUUCUAAGACAAAUCAUUGUUAGCAUUUUAUCCGUUUGGGGCCGCAUAUGAGAGAGGUAGAGAAAAGAGUCACUCGUACCCAUAUCAAAUGUUGUAAGAUUCAUCUUCCGAAAAAUGCCACACAAAUUUAUCUCGCUUAGUAGGGGACCUAAUAAGGAUUUUCUCAAUAACCUUAUGUUUAUUUUGGCUAAAACAUUGUUGUAGUAAAUCGCUCUUCCAAAUCCACAAGUCCAGAUCAAUCAGGUCCUUAAACAAAAUAAGGCUUAUCUCAAAGGAGGAAAGGAUGGAAUAUAUUCAAAAAGAUUACAAGUCGAGGACCCAUUGAUCAUGUGAAACCAUAAUGUCCUAGUCACUUUUGAAUUCAAUUUGGUUGCAAGAUUUUUAGUUAAAUUAAUAAUUCAAAAUUUUAGUAGGUAUCUUUCAUGUCUGAUGUACGAUUUUUGAAGACUAAUCUUUUUAGGAUUCGUGGUUACCCCUUCCAACGAUAUUAUUAUAUCUAAGGUUUAAAUAUGAAUUUUUUUCUUAGGAAUACAAUAUGCCUCCCCUUCUCAAUUUUUGUUCAUUGUUAAUUGAUCAUUUAAAUAGGAAUGCAUUUGUUUUAAACCUUGGUAAUUAGUUGGGUCUAGUGAACUUUAGGAGCUUAUUCUAUGCAUGUAACUCCCAACAUCCAUUCUUAAGAAUUCGAUGAUUGAAAUAUUUGGUUUCAAAAUUACUUCAAUUGUAAUUAUUACUUGAUUGUGGUACAAAAUUUUUGUUACAAUGUUUAGAACUAUUUACAACUCCUCCUUAACAUUUAAUAAAAGGAUAAAGGCACUUUAGCACGCUUCAACCCACAUAUCCUUCUAUACUAACAACAAUGUUGAUACUAAAUUAAAACUCAAUUUAACAAUUGUACAUAUUUUUAGGUUAAAUAAAUUUUAAGUACACAUAUUGCUGUUGUGAUGUAAGUAUUUAGGAUAAAUCACUGCAUUGUUAGACAAAUUGACCCAGACUAUAAAUUGUAUAUACAAACAAAAUUAAAGAGCAUUGGUAAAAUGUACAAAAAAAAUUGAGUAACAUUCAAUAUUUAUAAUAAAUAAAACACAAAUAUAAUAUACAAAGCUUUGAUGCCUUGAAUCUUUAGGGCUCUUCAAGCAGCCUUUAAUUUUUGUGAUUGGAUGAGUCUUGGCUGCCGCAAAUUGAAGAAGAAAAAUAUAUAAAAGCAUUUCAGAACAAAUACACACAAAAUAAGCUUCUGCAUGUAAGAAACUUAUAUAAGUUCGUUUCGGGUUUCACAAGUUUAAUCUUUUUAAGUUUGAGAUUUUAAUUUUUGAAUUGCAUCAUUACUAAUAAAAUUAUUUUAAGUAUAAAUUAUUCAGAUUAUUUUGAAUUCAAAUAAAUGUUUUGUUUGAAUCAAUUUAUAUUUGGGCCAAUAAUAAAUGGGUUUAAAUAGCUGAUUUUUUAUGGUCAAAGUGAGUUAAUUAGUUAAAUUUUCGGAUUCAUGUUAGAAUUGACACAUUUAAUUAAAAAUAUUUAAGCAUUAAAAUAAUCAAAAAGUCCCUAAGUUCAACUUACGGACGAAAAUUUAUAUUUUUACUUAGACUUCCCGAUUUUUUCAAAUUCUUAAUUAAGCCUCACAAUAAGUAUUGAAAUUUUCAAAAUUUUCAAAAUUUUCAAAACUUGCCUUUAAUUUUCUCAAAAUUCUUGAUUAAAUCUCUUAAAUUUUAUUUUCGAAAAAAGAAUUUCAUUAAACACAAAAAAUUAAAUAGAUUGAAUCCAACAUCUAGGAGUUACAAAAUUCUCAUAAAUAACAAGAGUUUACAAAAAGACUAGUAAACAAAACUUACUUUUGUUGAUGUAUAGCAUAAUAAGUCUGCAAAGCACCAAGCAAAAGUGCAGUAAUGGCACCCACAAAUGCCAAAAACGUCCAAGGACUCCUAAAAUAAGUAUGAUAACCUUGAGCUGCAUGCUUAAUCCACGUAGUCUUACAAUGAUCAUGUAUUUUCCGUUUAACCCCACUGUAAAUCGGACUAGGAACCAAAUCAGUGUUCAUCUUAUUGAAAAGCUUAGCCACUUCUUCAUCACUCCCCAAUCUAUUGUAUAGUAUGCCGGCGUCUCUCAGGUCUUUAACAUCUUCGGCUUCAUCAAUCAAUAAAUCAAGGAAACACAUAUAUGAAGUGACGGUGAAAUCGUUGUCGAAAUCCGGACACAUUUCGUAAGCUAUUAAGUUCAUGGUUGAAUCAUCGACGGAGAUCGGCGGUAAACAUAA
rnacentral:lncRNA from 1 species